UUUUUUUUUGAGGUCGACUGGUCGACUUUGUCUUCAACAGGAUUAGUGGGGGCACGCUGAGUGCACCCACUGGGUGUAGUCCCCGAGACUACGGUCGAAUGCUUGUAUUCGGCUGUAGUCUUAGAAACGUGUGUUUUUCCCUUUUCCACUCGGAAGUGAACAUUUGACAUUUAGUCGAUUGGUUCUUCGCAGAACUCUUGUGAUCUUGUGGCUCGCUACUCAGAGCUGGAACAGAAACAUACUCAAGUCGAGCUGAGCUUGAAGCUGGUUCAGGAGAAGCUGACAAAGGCAAAGGAGGAGACCGAAGGUAUGUUUGGUGAGACCUUGACGACUGCUUUUCCCCUUGCUUGUUUCAAAAUCUGAUCUUGCUGUAACUUGCAGGUAAGGUAAGGGAGGCCCAGCAGAAGAAAGAUCUUGAGCUAGCAGAGAAGAUCAAGCUUGCUGACGAGAAGUUAGCUUCAGUCACCAAGCUCGAACAAGACAAUACCAAUCUGAAAACUGCUCUUGGGAUUGCCAACAAGGAGGUCAGUCGACUGAGAACUGACAAAGCUGCCCUGACCGAUCAAGUCAGCAAAUUGACUGAGAAGAAAACUGAACUGGAGGCCUUCCUGAGUGGCCUUGCCAAGAGGCUGUUUCUUAUGCUUGAAGGUAAACCUCCAUGUUUGGCAAAUGUUUCCAAUUGUGGCUUUUUCCAUUCGACUAUCCCCUUGACUUAGUGAUCCUCGUUGCAGAAUUUUGUCAAAACUUUGAAGAAGAAACCAGCCGACUGGAGCCAAACCUUGACCCCGUCAAUUCUCCGGUGAACGACGAAGUUGCCAUGGAUGUUUUCCGACUGGAGUCUCGUGUUGCAGCUGUCGUGGACUAUCUCGCAAGGCUGAAGGCCGCCACAUCGCGCAUCGACUCGACGCUCUGGCCUGAGGAGACACUUCAGAAUGACCUUGAGUCGCUGAUGGCCCGGUUGAACAUGAUCCCUGGUCGAGUGCAGGAGUGGAAGAAGUCCUCGGCUCGGUGUGGUGCAGAUGUCGCUCUGUGUCUGGCCCGAGUCCACUGCAAAGAUGCACGAGAGGAGAAGCUGGCGGCCCUUCGGGUGGCCAAUACCAAGAAGCACGACUUCAGAUCCUUUAUGGAGACUUUCCUUGCAGCUGCCACUCGGAUCACCGACGGAAUUGACCUUGAUGAAUUUGUUGCACCUUCCAGCCCUCCACAGGAGGGGUAAAAAACUUCUUCUGGCUCAACGUUUUAAAUUUGCCUCGGUAUGCCGAGUGAAAUUGUAACCGACAAACCUUAACGGGCUUGACGCCUGAGCACUUUCGGUUCCUUUGGAUAUCGAUUCAAACUUGAAUUUGGCGCUUGAAUAUGAUUGCCUUUGGCUCGGAAUGUCUUUUGCAGGUUCAAAGCAAGGUGCCUGUACUGCAAUCGACUUAUUCUUUAGUCCAUUUAGGCGAGCACUGGGCUGCAGCUAAGCCCCCCGAGUGAGAGGGUUGCUCUCCACUCGGCAGGGUUUUUAUACCUUAGGCGAGCACAGGGCUGCAGCUAAGCCUCCGAGUGAGAGGGUUGCUCUUCACUCGGUAGGAUUUUUAUAANNNNNNNNNNNNNNNNNNNNNNNNNNNNNNNNNNNNNNNNNNNNNNNNNNNNNNNNNNNNNNNNNNNNNNNNNNNNNNNNNNNNNNNNNNNNNNNNNNNNNNNNNNNNNNNNNNNNNNNNNNNNNNNNNNNNNNNNNNNNNNNNNNNNNNNNNNNNNNNNNNNNNNNNNNNNNNNNNNNNNNNNNNNNNNNNNNNNNNNNNNNNNNNNNNNNNNNNNNNNNNNNNNNNNNNNNNNNNNNNNNNNNNNNNNNNNNNNNNNNNNNNNNNNNNNNNNNNNNNNNNNNNNNNNNNNNNNNNNNNNNNNNNNNNNNNNNNNNNNNNNNNNNNNNNNNNNNNNNNNNNNNNNNNNNNNNNNNNNNNNNNNNNNNNNNNNNNNNNNNNNNNNNNNNNNNNNNNNNNNNNNNNNNNNNNNNNNNNNNNNNNNNNNNNNNNNNNNNNNNNNNNNNNNNNNNNNNNNNNNNNNNNNNNNNNNNNNNNNNNNNNNNNNNNNNNNNNNNNNNNNNNNNNNNNNAGUGAGAGGGUUGCUCUUCACUCGGUAGGAUUUUAAUAACUUAGGCGAGCACAGGGCUGCAGCUAAGCCCCCGAGUGAGAGGGUUGCUCUUCACUCGGUAGGAUUUUGAUAACUUAGGCGAGUGCUUGGACUGCAGCUAAGCCCCCGAGUGGGAGGUUUGCUCUUCACUCGGUAGGAUUUUGACAAACUUAGGCGAGUCCUUGGACUGCAGCUAAGCCCCCGAGUGGAAGUCGGGCUUACCACUCGGUAGGAUUUUGAUAACUUAGGCGAAAUGGAUUCGCAGCUAAGCCUCCGAGUGGGAGUCUGGCUCACCAACCGGUAGGAUUUUUACAAACUUAGGCGAAACGGAUUCGCAGCUAAGUCACCCACUGAGGGGGAAUUUUAUUGGACAAAAAUAAAAAGUGACAGAAAUUAUUUUGAGGUCCAUGAACUACAGAAGUACUUUACUGCAACUCAUCCGAGUGAUAAAGCUUAAGUGUAAAACGGGCGGAGUAGCUCCGCGUUCCAAGCUCGGGGCUCGUCGAUGUUAUGCUCGACGUUGUAAAGACGGUACGCCCCGUUGUGGAGAACCUUGGUGACGAUGAAGGGGCCUUCCCAAGACGGAGCAAGCUUGCGUGGUUUGUGCUGAUCCACUCGGAGAACCAAAUCCCCUUCCUGGAAGGCUCGACCUCUCACAUUUCGGGCGUGGAAACGGCGCAGAUCUUGUUGGUAGAUGGUCGACCGGAUCAGAGCCAUCUCCCUUUCUUCCUCUAAAAGGUCGACUGCGUCCUGCCGCGCUUGUUCAGCUUCUGCCUCGUUGUAGAUUUCAACUCGAGGAGCAUUGUGGAGGAGAUCACUCGGCAAGACUGCUUCAGCUCCAAAGACCAAGAAGAAUGGAGUUCUUCCGGUCGACCGAUUAGGCGUGGUCCGCAGUCCCCAGAGUACAGAUGGAAGUUCGUCGACCCAAGCUCCAGCCGCGUGCUUGAGAUCACGCAUCAGUCGAGGCUUCAGUCCCUUGAGAAUCAGUCCAUUAGCUCGCUCUGCUUGUCCAUUCGACUGCGGAUGGGCGACUGAUGCGUAGUCGACUCGUGUGCCCUGGGAGUUGCAGAAGGUUCUGAAUUCCUCUGAGUCAAAGUUCGACCCAUUAUCUGUUAUGAUGCUGUGCGGAACUCCAUAUCUGAAUAUUAGUUCCCUGAUGAAGCUAACAGCAGUACCGGUGUCAAGGCUCUUGAUUGGUUUAGCCUCGAUCCACUUGGUGAACUUGUCGACUGCCACCAGUACAUGCGUGAAGCCACUUUGUCCUGUUCUCAAAGGACCGAUCAUGUCCAGCCCCCAAACUGCAAAAAGCCAGACGAGUGGGAUGGUCUUCAAAGCUGACGCAGGCUUGUGCGACAUAUUCGAGUAGAACUGACAUCCCUCGCACUUAUCUACUAUCUCUUUUGCCAUCUCAUUUGCCUUGGGCCAGUAAAAUCCGGCUCGGUAUGCUUUGGCCACGAUGGUCCGAGAGGACGCAUGAUGACCACAGGUCCCCGAGUGAAUAUCAUUGAGGAUGAGUCGACCUUCUUCUGGUGUUAUGCACUUCUGACCGACUCCAGUCGCGCUUUCUCUGUAUAAUUGUCCUUUGAUUACGGUAAAGGCCUUAGAUCGACGGACGAUCUGUCGAGCCUCUUCCUCAUCCUCCGGAAGCUCUUUCCUCAAGAUAUAUGCGACAUACGGAAUCGUCCAGUCGGGAAUGACCACCAAAACCUCCAUGAUCAAGUCGACCACCGCUGGGACUUCGACUUCAGUCGGAUCUGUGGCGCUCUUGGGCUGCGGAGUUUCUUCGGUGAAAGGAUCCUCUUUGACUGACAGAGUGUGUAUAUGCUCCAAGAACACACCACUCGGAAUGGCUUCUCUCUUGGAACCUAUCUUUGCUAGAUCAUCAGCUGCUUGAUUUUUCAGUCGGGGUAUAUGAUGGAGUUCCAACCCCUCGAACUUCUUCUCCAGCUUCCUCACUGCACUGCAGUAUCCAGUCAUGGCUGGGCUUCUCACGUCCCACUCUUUCAUCACCUGAUUGACCACUAAAUCCGAGUCGCCAUAGACCAUUAGGCGACGGACGCCGAGUGAAAUGGCCAUGCGCAAACCAUAUAGGAGGGCCUCAUAUUCUGCCUCAUUGUUGGAGGAAUCAAAGUGAAUCUGGAGCACAUAUCUGAGCCUAUCUCCUCUGGGGGAAACCAGGACAACCCCAGCACCGGAACCAUUCAGCAUCUUAGAGCCAUCGAAAAACAUGGCCCAAUGCUCCGAGUGAACUUCAGUCGGCUGCUGUUGUUCAAUCCACUCGGCGAGGAAAUCUGCUAUUGCUUGGGACUUAAUGGCUUUCUUUGCCUCAAACUUGAUAUCAAGGGGAAGAAGUUCAAUCGCCCAUUUGGCCACUCGACCAGUUGCAUCUCUGUUGUGCAAAAUCUCUGAUAGUGGAGCGUCGCUGACGACUGUGAUGGAAUGGUCAGAGAAAUAAUGAGCAACCUUCUUUGUGGUCAUGUAUAUUCCAUACACAAGCUUCUGAUAGUGAGGAUAUCUCUGCUUGGAUGGAGUCAAGACUUCAGACAAAUAAUACACUGGGCGCUGAACUUUGAGAGCUUUUCCUUCUUCUUCCCGCUCGACCGUUAGCACAGUACUGACGACUUGUCCUGUGGCUGCGAUGUAGAGCAACAGAGGCUCUUUGCUGAUUGGAGCAGCAAGCACCGGCUGGGUGGAGAGCAGAGCUUUUAGCUCGGCAAACGCUGCAUCAGCUUCUGGAGUCCACUCGAACCUGUCAGCCUUCUUCAUCAGUCGGUAAAGAGGCAGUGCCUUUUCACCGAGUCGUGAGAUGAAUCGACUUAAUGCGGCCAAGCAUCCAGUAAGCUUCUGGACAUCGUGCACUCGCACAGGGCGUUUCAUUCGGAGAAUAGUGCCAAUCUUUUCUGGGUUAGCGUUGAUUCCCUGUUUGGAAACGAGAAAACCGAGUAACUUGCCACCAGGAACUCCAAAUGUGCACUUUGAUGGAUUGAGCUUGAUAUCAUACCUUCUGAGGUUGGCAAAUGUUUCGGCGAGGUCAGCGAGCAGGUCGGAACCUUUUCGUGACUUGACAACAAUAUCAUCCAUAUAAGCUUCCACAUUCCGACUGAUUUGGGUGAGUAGACACUUCUGAAUCAUUCGCAUAAAUGUGGCUCCGGCAUUCUUGAGGCCGAAUGGCAUGGUGAUAUAGCAGAAGCACCCGAAUGGAGUGAUGAAAGCUGUUUUUACCUCAUCGGGCCCGUACAGACGGAUCUGGUGGUACUCGGAAUAAGCAUCUAAAAAAGACAACCUCUCGCAUCCCGCGGUCGAGUCAACAAUUUGAUCUAUGCGAGGGAGAGGAAAGUGAUCUUUCGGGCAGGCCCGGUUGAUGUGCUUGAAAUCAAUGCACAUUCGGAGCGACUUGUCCUUCUUAGGAACCAUGACGACAUUAGCGAGCCACUCGGAGUGGUAUAUCUCUCGGAUAAAUCCUGCCGCCAACAGUCGAGCCACUUCUUCACCGAUGGCCUUUCUCUUCUGGACGGCGGACCAUCGAAGAUGCUCUUUGACUGGUUUUGCAGACGAGUCGACUCUUAGGCGAUGCUCAGCCAGUCCCCUGGGAACACCUGGCAUGUCAGCGGGCUUCCAUGCAAAAAUGUCCCAGUUCUCACGGAGGAACUGGAUGAGCGCUUCUUCCUAUUUUGGGUCGAGUGUUGUGGAGAUGCGGGUCGGAGCCGCUUCGGGGUCGGUCGGGUGAAUGUGAACAGGCAUCGUCUCACCGGACGACUGGAAUGCAGACUCUGUGGCGGGCUUCUUGGCUCGCAGCAAGUCACUCGGAUCUGCGUUUUGCUUGUAUUCUUCGAACUCGACCGCUGUCACUUGGGAAUCGGCAAUCUUGGAGCCCUUCUGAAAGCACUCCUCUGCCUUCUUCCUAUCACCGGUGACAGUGAUCACACCUUUGGGACCGGGCAUCUUCAAUUUGAGGUACACGUAACAUGGUCGAGCCAUGAACCGUGCAUAGGCUGGUCUCCCCAAAAUGGCAUGAUAUGCACUUUGAAAAUCCACGACCUCAAACGUCAACUUUUCUUUGCGAAAAUGCUUCGAAUCACCAAACACCACGUCCAAAGCUAUCUGGCCGAGUGACUCGGCCUUCUUCCCUGGUAUAACUCCAUGGAAGCUCAUGUUACUAGUGCUCAGUCGGGACAUCGGAAUGCCCAUACCUUUCAAUGUGUCUGCAUAUAAUAAGUUCAGCCCACUUCCACCAUCCAUCAGCACCUUUGUCAGUCGAGUGCCUUCGACAACUGGAUCGACCACCAAAGCUUGCCUCCCGGGGGUGGCAAUAUGAGUCGGGUGAUCAGAUUGGUCGAAUGUGAUGGGUGUUUGAGACCACUUCAGAUAAUUUGCCUUUGCUGGGGCAACCAUGUUCACCUCUCGGUUAAUCACUUUCAGUCGACUUCUGCUUUCCACAUCUGCAAAGAUCAUCAGAGUGGAGUUGAUAUGCGGAUAUCCUCCCUCACUGUCCUCUUUGUCUUCGGCCUUGUCCGACUCCUUCUCCUUGUCCUUAGACUGUUUUCCCUGAAACUGCUGGAUCAGGAGUCGACAUUGGCGAGUGGUGUGUUUUGGGUAAAUGAUAUUCCCCUCUUCAUCUUUCUUCGUGUGAAUGUGACACGGCAUAUCCAUCACGUCAUUCCCUUCUUUAUCCUUUACCUUCUUGGGGUUCCAGGAUCCUUUUGGUUUCCCCUUAAACUUUCCUUGAGUUACGGCCAGAGCCUCUCCAGGAGCUGCCGGUUCAGCCUUUCGCUUCUGUUUCCGACUGACGUUCCCUUUUUCCGACUGAUUCGGCUUGUGCUUGCCGCUUCGGAGUCGGUCUUCUUCUUCGCCGUUGGCGUACUUGGUAGCAAUCUCCAUCAUUCGACUCAAGGUCAUGUCACCGGUUCGACCAAAUUUCAAACUCAGUUCUCUGUUCUUGACGCCGUCUUUGAAGGCGCAUACUGCCUGAUGAUCAGAGACAUUUUCCACAGUGUGGUGCAAAGUGAUCCACCUCUGAAUAUACUCUCUGAGAGUCUCAUUAGUUUUCUGCACGCAGACUUGCAGCUCUGUCAAUCCCGCUGGUCGCUUGCAAGUCCCUUCAAACGUUCUGACGAACACUCGGGACAGAUCUUCCCAAGUGUAAAUGCUGCUAGGAGGUAGUUGAGUCAACCAUGCCCUGGCAGAACCUUCCAACAUGAGGGGCAAAUGCUUCAUGGCCACCUCGUCAUUCCCACCACCGAUCUGAACUGCCACUCGGUAGUCUUCAAGCCAAGUUUCAGGCUUAGACUCACCAGUGAACUUGCUGACUCCUGUUGCCAAUCUGAAAUUGGGGGGGAUAACUGCGGCUCUGAUAGCUCUGCUGAAACAUUCAGGACCAGAAACGUGUACUCGACUGCUCGUGGGUACAUCUCUGUCGAGUGCGCCUCGGUGGGCUCUGUUCCGGUCGACCAGCCCUUGCACGAUAAUGGAUCGCGCGUCGAAGCCUGGCUCUCUGGGGUCAACUGGAACCCUACGCCCUGCACUGUACUGACGCCUAUCAUCUGGCUGCCGAGGAGCGUAAGACCCACCCCUCGGAGGGGAAUAGGGCACUCGAUGCCUAUCAUCUCGGUCGAGUCUGUCGCCAUAUUGAUCUCGCCGAUUCUCACGCCCUUCGCGCCGCGGAGGCGAUCUGGGGCUGUGAGCCGACUGAACCGUAUUCACAGUGACAGAUCGACUGUGAAUUCUGUUGCGCGACUGAGACACGGCUGAAUUCUGAUCUCCUGCUGCCCGGAGCAGAUCCCUGAUCUGCAGCAAACCUCUGCCAGCUUCCGACUGCGAAGGCUGGAUGGACUCUGCUAUACGGGUCGCAGCUGCUAAAUUCUGAAUUGGGGUUCGAUAUACCUGAGUCGGCGGGAAGAGUUGACGUCGACUGGUGUCGGGAACUCGUUGCCGCGCGCGCUCGUCGAGUGCUCGCUGAAGGUUCUCCAGUCGAGUGCGCUCGGCCAAAUUGGCCAGACGCGCCUCCUCCAAGGCACGAGCUUCGGGGGUUUCUCCUGCGAUGGGAAUACGCAGGGGAUCCUCGUUUCGGCGGCGAAGCUCUUCUCUUUGCAGAGAGUCGAGUGGCUCGGGCUGGUACUCUUCGUAGUCUCGUGCAGGGUCGCCGCCGUCGCCUGCUCCACCACCUCGGGCGAAGCCAGGAGGGCUGUGGGGCCCGUCGACCAUCAAGAUUUCCGCCGCUGGAUCACUGCUUCCACACUCGGAUGCGGUCUCUCCGGAGCCAGUCGACUGAUCGAACAAGCCGUAGAGAGAUUCGUUGGGCUCGAUUGCCGCAACUUGUGUAGUGGCCGAUUGGCGAGCCACCGCGUGACUCACCCAUCGCUGAAGUCUCGACCGGCCUGAGCGCUUGCGCUGGCGGGAGACCGGGAGGGUGGACGAUGGAGGAGCCGACCGAUACUGGGUCGACGGUUGCCGCAGUAGAACGCCGCGGACACAUGCGCAAAAAUGCGUCGCACCGCGGACGGGGAGCGCAUCUACGUCGAGUGGAGCCUCCUGGAGCCAUGCGGAGUCGUCGGCGAUGAAGGUGAGAGCGCCGAGACGGAUCUCUUGACCCUCGACCAAAACUCCAGCAGACACCAUGAUGAGAGUACUCGGAAGAAUCGCAACUUCUCCACAAAAUCGCUAAAACACCUGCCCCACGGUGGGCGCCAACUGUCGUGGUUCUAAGCCUGACAGUAGAGUGGGGGGUAGGUAUGGAGAGGCAAGGUCCUAGCUAUGGAGAGGUUGUAAGCACAAAGGAUGUACGAGUUCAGGCCCUUCUCGGAAGAAGUAACAGCCCUACGUCUCGGAGCCCGGAGGCGGUCGAGUGGAUUAUGACUGUAUGGAUUACAAGGUGUCGAACCCUUCUGCCUGUGGAGGGGGGUGGCUUAUAUAGAGUGCGCCAGGACCCCAGCCAGCCCACGUAGGAGAGGGUUUAAGGUGAGUUAAGUCUGGGGCGUUACUGGUAACGCCCCACAUAAAGUGCCUUUACUAUCAUAAAGACUACUUGAUUACAGGCCGUUGCAGUGCAGAGUGCCUCUUGACCUCCUGGUGGUCGAGUGAGUCUUCGUGGUCGAGUCCUUCAGGCCAGUCGAGUGAAUCCUCGUUGGUCGACUGGAAGGCGACCUCUUCUAAGGAUGUCCUAGGGUAAGUUACUUGGAUCAGGUCCAUGAUCCUACCCUAGGUACACAACCCCAUCAAUACCUGCACCACCGGAACUCCGAACUCGUCUCCGACCGUAAGUUCCGAACCAUGUGAGCCUGUGGACGACGAACUUGACCGUUUAUCGAUCUUCAAAUUCAGCGCCGCAGACAUCUUCUAGCACUCGCCUUUGGGCGACGUGCUAAACUCAUUAAAAAACCUGUCCUUGACAAAGGACUCACAUCGAACUAUAUCCGGUCCGAACUAGGGGCUGACGGUGGAGAAUUUUGCUUCCCACCCGCCACCCACUUCAUAGCCACGGUCGAGGAUUUGACUGACACACUUGACUAUGACUCCGAGGACAUCGAUGAUAUGGACAAUGAUGCCGGAGAAGAAGAGGCCCAGAACCUGCCGUUCACGAGACGCUGGACGGCCACUUCCUCAUAUGAUGUAUACAUGGUGGAUGCACCAAAGGAGAAAAGCGUCGAUGACAAGGAAGAUCCAGUUGAGGAUAAACCUUCCGAAAUACAAUCCAAGCGCCGGCGUCAGCGGCGCCGCUCUAAGUCACAGCGCAGUAAAGACAACAACACCGACACAUGAGAAGAUAACACUCUAGAAGGUGCCGAAGACAACGAAGACCCCGUUGAAACAGCUAAUGAACAAGAUGAACGGGAAGAUGGGCAUGUUAGCCCUGGUAAAUAGGCCACACACGAAGACUCAGAGGACGGAAGUUAUCUUCUGCUCUCCGAGGAUGAGGUGAGCCUCGGCACCAAUGAUUUCAUCGUGCCUGAGGAACCUCUUAAGCAGGCGCGCUUCAAGUGCCAGCUAAUAGCCACUGCAAGGAGCCUAAAAAAGAAGCAGCAGCAGCUUCAAGCUGACCAAGAUCUGCUCAAUGAUAAAUGGACCGAUGUCCUAGCAGCCGAAGAAUACGGCCUCAAGCGCCCAACCAAAAGCUACCCACAGCGCAAAUUGCUACCUCAGUUUGACAAGGAGGUGCCGGAAUACAUACCACCAUCAUACAAUGUGGCUGACCGACCACCACAUGGUCGGGGCAAAACAGUAACUCACGCCGAACACCAGCCCGCUCCGCCUUGAUAUGUCUCCAACGUAUCUAUAAUUUUUGAUUGCUCCAUGCUAUAUUAUCUACUGUUUUGGGCAAUAUUGGGCUUUAUUAUCCACUUUUAUAUUAAUUUUUGGACUAACCUAUUAACCAGAGGCCCAGCCCAGAUUUGCUGUUUUAUGCCUAUUUCAGUGUUUCGAAGAAAAGGAAUAUCAAACGGAGUCGAAAUGGAACGAAAUCAAUUGGAGAAGUUAUUUUUGGAAGGAAAGCAACCCAGGGAACUUGGAGUGCACGUCAGGGGAGACACGGGCUGCCCAUGAGGGUGGGGGGCGUGCCCACCCCCUAGGGCGCGCCCCCUGCCUCGUGGGGCCCCCGUGGCUCCUCCGACGUACUUCCUGCACACAUAUAUAUCGUUGUACCCUAAAACUUCCAGAACGGACAAUAGAUCGGGAGUUCCGCCGCCAGAAGCCUCCGUAGCCACCAAAAACCAAUCUAGACCCGUUCCGGCACCCUGCCGGAGGGGGCAAUCCCUCUCUGGUGGCCAUCUUCAUCAUCCUGGUGCUCUCCAUGACGAGGAGGGAGUAGUUCUCCCUCGGGGCUGAGGGUAUGUACCAGUAGCUAUGUGUUUGAUCUCUCUCUCUCUCUCUCUCUCUCUCUCUCUCUCUCUCGUGUUCUUGAGAUGAUAUGAUCUUGAUGUAUCACGAGCUUUGCUAUUAUAUUUGGAUCCUAUGAUGUUUCUUCCCCCCUCUACUAUCUUGUAAUGAAUUGAGUUUCCCCUUUGAAGUUAUCUUAUCGGAUUGAGUCUUUAAAGAUUUGAGAACACUUGAUGUAUGUCUUGCCGUGGAUAUCUGUGGUGACAAUGGGAUAUCACGUGAUUCACUUGAUGUAUGUUUUGGUGAUCAACUUGCGGGUUCCGCCCAUGAACCUAUGCAUAGGGGUUGGCACACGUUUUCGUCGUGAUUCUCCGGUAGAACUUUGGGCACUCUUUGAGGUCCUUUGCGUUGGUUGAAUAGAUGAAUCUGAGAUUGUGUGACGCAUAUUGUAUAAUCAUACCCACGGAUACUUGAGGUGACAAUGGAGUAUCUAGGUGACAUUAGGGUUUUGGUUGAUUUGUGUCUUGAGGUGUUAUUCUAGUACGAACUCUAGGGCUGUUGGUGACACUUAUAGGAAUAGCCCAACGGAUUGAUUGGAAAGAAUAACUUUGAGGUGGUUUCGUACCCUACCAUAAUCUCUUCGUUCGUUCUCCGCUAUUAGUGACUUUGGAGUGACUCUUUGUUUCAUGUUGAGGGAUAGUUUUAUGAUCCAAUUAUGUUAGUAUUGUUGAGGGAACUUACACCAGCGAAAGUAUGAACCCUAGGCCUUAUUUCCAUGCAUUGCAAUAUCGUUUACGCUCACUUUUAUCAUUAGUUACCUUGCUGUUUUUAUUAUUUUAGAUUACCUUUAUCUACUAUCCAUAUACCACUUGUUUCACCAUCUCUUCGCCGAACUAGUGCACCUAUACAAUUUACCAUUGUAUGGGUGUGUCUGGGACACAAGAGACUCUUUGUUAUUUGGUUGCAGGGUUGCUUGAGAGAGACCAUCUUCAUCCUACGCCUCCUACGGAUUGAUAAACCUUAGGUCAUCCACUUGAGGGAAAUUUUCUACUGUCCUACAAACCUCUGCACUUGGAGGCCCAACAAUGUCUACAAAAAGAAGGUUGUGUAGUAGGCAUCAAGCUCUUUUCCGGCGCCGUUGCCGGGGAGGUGAGUGCUUGAAGGUAUAUAUUUAGAUAUUGCAAUCGAGUAUUUUAGUUUCUUGUUUUAUCACUAGUUUAGUUUAUAAAACAAAACUAUAAAAAAAUGGAAUUGAGUUUGUCUCAUAUGCUUCACCUUUUUAAUAUCUUUCGUGAGUAUGAUGGAAAGGAUAAUUGUGCUCAAGUGCUAGAAGAAGAAAUCUAUAAAAUGUUUGGCACUAAAUAUUUGAAUGAUGAGCAUGAUUGCAAUGUUGUUGGUAUGAAUUCCUUGAAUAUCCAUGAUGCUAAUGAUAUGCAAAGCCACAAGCUUGGGGAAGCUAUGUUUGAUGAAGAUGAUAUUUUUUGUCCCCCAAGUUUUGAUGAGCAAAUUUAUUAUGAUGAAGAAGGCCUCCUAUCUAUGAUGAUUAUUGUGAUGAUACAUAUGCUUUAAAGAAUAAUGAUAACCAUGAAACUUGUCAUCUGGAUCUUAAUUUUCAAUCCCAUGAUAGUUAUUUCGUUGAGUUUGCUCCCACUACUAUUGAUGAGAAGAAUUUUGCUUCUGUGGAGAGUAGUAAAUUUUGCAUGCUUAUAGAUCAUGAAAAGAAUACUUUCGGUGCUGGUUAUAUUGUUGAAUUCAUUCAUGAUGCUACUGAAAAUUAUUAUGAGGGAGGAACAUAUGCUUGUAGGAAUUGCAAUAAUAUCAAGUUUCCUCUCUAUGUGCUUAAAAUUUUGAAGUUAUGCUUGUUUUACCUUCCUAUGCAAGUUGACUAUUGUUUCCAUAAGUUGUUUGCUCACAAAGUCCCUAUGCAUAGGAAGUGGGUUAGACUUAAAUUUGCUAGUCAUAUUCUUCAUGAUGCUCACUUUAUGUUUCAAUUCUUAUCUUUUAUGUGAGCAUCGUUGAAAUCAUCAUGCCUAGCUAGGGGCGUUAAACGAUAGCGCUUGUUGGGAGGCAACCCAAUUUUAUUUUUGUUCCUGUUUAGUAAUAAAUAAUUCAUCUAGCCUCUGUUUAGAUGUGGUUUUAUGUGUUUAAUUAGUGUUUGUGCCAAGUAGAACCUUUGGGAAGACUUGGGGAAAGUCUUGUUGAUCAUGCUGUCAAAAACAGAAACUUUAGCGCUCACGAGAAUUGCUGCCAUUUUUAUUUGGAGAGUGAUAUUUAGUUAAUUAUUUUUACAGAUGAUUAAUAGAUAAAUUCCUCAGGUACAUCAAUUUAUUUUAGAAUUCUAUGAGUUCCAUAAGUAUACGUUUGAUCCAGAUUACUACAGACUGUUCUGUUUUUGACAGAUUCUGUUUUCGAUGUGUUGUUUGCUUAUUUUGAUGAAUAUAUGGCUAGUAAAAUAGUUUAUAAACCAUAGAGAAGUUGGAAUACAGUAGGUUUAACACCAAUAUAAAUAAAUAAUGAGUAUAUUAAAGUACCAUGAAGUGGUGAUUUAUUUUCUUAUACUAACGGAGCUUACGAGUUUUCUGUUAAGUUUUGUGUUGUGAAGUUUUCAAGUUUUGGGUAAGGAUUCGAUGGACUAUGGAAUAAGGAGUGGCAAGAGCAUAAGCUUGGGGAUGCCCAAGGCACCCCAAGGUAAUAUUCAAGGAUAGCCAAGAGCCUAAGCUUGGGGAUGCCCCGGAAGGCAUCCCCUCUUUCGUCUUCGUUCAUCGGUAACUUUACUUGGAGCUAUAUUUUUAUUCGCCACAUGAUAUGUGUUUUGCUUGGAGCGUCAAUUUAUUUUGUUAGGAUUUGCUUGCUGUUAUUUAGAACAAUGUUUUGCAUCUUUUAUUUCAAUAAAAGUGGCAUUGAUAGCCUUUACUAUGCCUAUGUUACAAGUAUACAUGUUGCUGUUUGAAAACAGAAAGUUUACCGUGUUGCAAUAAUUCCCUAGAAAAGUCAGAAUGUGAUAAAAUGUCGAAACCUUUUGAAUAUUAAGCUCUGAUAAAUUUAAUACAGUGGUAAUUUUCUUUCAUAAUUUUUGGACCUAGGGAAGUAUGGAUGUUGCAGCAUUCUUUACAGACUAUCCUGUUUAGGCAGAUUGCUGUUAUGUUUGCAUUGUUUGCAUAUGUUUGCUUCUUUAAUGAUUCUAUUUGAGGAUAGGACUAUUAAAUAUGCAGAGGCAUUUAGUAUGCAAUGUUGAAUGAUAAUUUUAGUGGUUUGCUACAGUAGAGUAUGAUAAGGUUUUUGCAAUGGUUUAUACUAACUUAUCUCAUGAGUCUUUGUUGAGUUUUGUGUGGAUGAAGCUUUUGAGGUUUAGGGAGACCGUGAUAUGAGAGGAAUUAAGGAGACACAAAGGCUCAAGCUUGGGGAUGCCCAAGGCACCCCAAGAUAAUAUCUCAAGAAGUCUCAAGCGUCUAAGCUUGGGGAUGCCCCGGUUGGCAUCCCACCUUUCUUCUUCAACAACUAUCGGUUAGUAUCGGUUGAUCCUAAGUUUUUGCUUCUUCACAUGAUGUUUGCUAUUCUUAGAUGUCAUUUUAUUUUGCUUUGCUUGCUAUUUGAAUAAAUUAUCAAGAUCUGAAAUUAUUAAAUGUUAGAGAGUCUUCACAUAAUUUCAUAAUUAUUCGACUACUCAUUGAUCUUCAUUUAUAUCUUUCGGAGUAGUUUGUUGUUGCUCUAGUGCUUCACUUAUAUAUUUUAGAGCAUGGUGGUAGUUUUAUUUUGUAGAAAUAGAUGAACUCUCAUGCUUCACUUAUAUAAUUUUGAGAGUUUUAAAUAGCAUGGUAAUUUGCUUAAAAUCCUAAUAUGCUAGGUAUUCAAGAAUAAUAAAAUUCUCUUAUGAGUGUGUUGAAUACUAUGAGAAGUUUGAUACUUGAUAAUUCUUUUGAGAUAUGGAGAUGGUGAUAUUAGAGUCAUGCUAGUUGAGUAGUUGUGAAUUUGAGAGAUACUUGUGUUGAAGUUUGUGAUUCCCGUAGCAUGCACGUAUGGUGAACCGUUAUGUGAUGAAGUCGGAGCGUGAUUUAUUUAUUGAUUGCCUUCCUUAUGAGUGGCGGUCGGGGACGAGCGAUGGUCUUUUCCUACCAAUCUAUCCCCCUAGGAGCAUGCGCGUAGUACUUUGUUUUGAUAACUAGUAGAUUUUUGCAAUAAGUAUGUGAGUUCUUUACGACUAAUGUUGAGUCCAUGGAUUAUAUGCACUCUCACCCUUCCACCAUUGCUAGCCUCUCUAGUACCACGCAACUUUCGCCGGUACCAUAAACCCACCAUAUACCUUCCUAAAAACAACCACCAUACCUACCUGUUAUGGCAUUUCCAUAGCCAUUCCGAGAUAUAUUGCCAUGCAACUUUCCACCGUUCCAUUUAUGACACACUCCAUCAUUGUCAUAUUGCUUAGCAUGAUCAUGUAGUUGACAUCGUAUUUGUGGCAAAGCCACCAUUCAUAAUUCUUUCAUACAUGUCACUCAUGCAUCAUUGCACAUCCCGGUACACCGCCGGAGGCAUUCAUAUAGAGUCAUAUCUUGUUCUAAGUAUCGAGUUGUAAUUCUUGAGUUGUAAGUAAAUAAAAGUGUGAUGAUCAUCAUUAUUAGAGCAUUGUCCCAGUGAGGAAAGGAUGAUGGAGACUAUGAUUCCCCCACUAGUCGGGAUGAGACUCCGGACGAAAAUAAAUAAAUAAAAGAGUCCAAAGAAGCCCAAAUAAAAAAGAGAAAGAAAAGAGGCCAUAAAAAAAGAGAAAAGGCCCAAAUAAAAAAAUAAAAAAAUGAGAUAAAAUGAGAGAAGGGACAAUGCUACUAUCCUUUUACCACACUUGUGCUUCAAAGUAGCACCAUGAUCUUCAUGAUAGAGAGUCUCCUAUGUUGUCACUUCCAUAUACUAGUGGGAAUCUUUCAUUAUAGAACUUGGCUUGUAUAUUCCAAUGAUGGGCUUCCUCAAAAUGCCCUAGGUCUUCGUGAGCAAGCGAGUUGGAUGCACACCCACUAGUUUCUUUCGUUGAGCUUUCAUAUACUUAUAGCACUAGUGCAUCCGUUGCAUGGCAAUCCCUACUCACUCACAUUGAUAUCUAUUGAUGGGCAUCUCCUUAGCCCGUCGAUACGCCUAGUUGAUGUGAGACUAUCUUCUCCCUUUUUGUCUUCUCCACAACCACCAUUCUAUUCCACCUAUAGUGCUAUAUCCAUGGCUCACGCUCAUGUAUUGCGUGAAGAUUGAAAAAGUUUGAGAACAUCAAAAGUAUGAAACAAUUGCUUGGCUUGUCAUCGGGGUUGUGCAUGAUUUAAAUAUUUUGUGUGGUGAAGAUAGAGCAUAGCCAGACUAUAUGAUUUUGUAGGGAUAGCUUUCUUUGGCCAUGUUAUUUUGAGAAGACAUAAUUGCUUUAUUAGUAUGCUUGAAGUAUUAUUAUUUUUAUGUCAAUAUGAACUUUUGUCUUGAAUCUUUUGGAUCUGAAUAUUCAUAUCACAAGUAAGAAGAAUUACAUUGAAAUUAUGCAAAGUAGCAUUCCACAUCGAAAAUUAUCUUUUUAUCAUUUACCUACUCGAGGACGAGCAGGAAUUAAGCUUGGGGAUGCUUGAUACGUCUCCAACGUAUCUAUAAUUUUUGAUUGCUCCAUGCUAUAUUAUCUACUAUUUUGGGCAAUAUUGGGCUUUAUUAUCCAAUUUUAUAUUACUUUUGGGACUAACCUAUUAACCGGAGGCCCAGCCCAGAUUUGUUGUUUUAUGCCUAUUUCAGUGUUUCGAAGAAAAGGAAUAUCAAACAGAGUCGAAACAGAACGAAAUCAACUGGAGAAGUUAUUUUUGGAAGGAAAGCAACCCAGGGAACUUGGAGUGCACGUCAGGGGAGACACGGGCUGCCCACGAGGGUGGGGGGCGCGCCCCCCUGCCUCAUGGGGCCCCCGUGGCUCCUCUGACGUACUUCCUGCACCCAUAUAUAUCAUCGUACCCUAAAACUUCCAGAAUGGACAAUAGAUCGGGAGUUCCGCCACCAGAAGCCUCUGUAGACACCAAAAACCAAUCUAGACCCGUUCCGGCACCCUGCCGGAGGUGGAAAUCCCUCUCCGGUGGCCAUCUUCAUCAUCCCGAUGCUCUCCAUGACGAGGAGGGAGUAGUUCUCCCUCGGGGCUGAGGGUAUGUACCAGUAGCUAUGUGUUUGAUCUCUCUCUCUCUCUCGUGUUCUUGAGAUGAUACGAUCUUGAUGUAUCGCGAGCUUUGCUAUUCUAUUUGGAUCCUAUGAUGUUUCUUCCCCCCUCUACUCUCUUGUAAUGAAUUGAGUUUCCCCUUUGAAGUUAUCUUAUCGGAUUGAGUCUUUAAAGAUUUGAGAACACUUGAUGUAUGUCUUGCCGUGGAUAUCUGUGGUGACAAUGGGAUAUCACGUGAUUCACUUGAUGUAUGUUUUGGUGAUCAACUUGCGGGUUCCGCCCAUGAACCUAUGCAUAGGGGUUUGCACACGUUUUCGUCGUGAUUCUCCGGUAGAACUUUGGGGCACUCUUUGAGGUCCUUUGUGUUGGUUGAAUAGAUGAAUCUGAGAUUGUGUGACGCAUAUCGUAUAAUCAUACCCACGGAUACUUGAGGUGACAAUAGAGUAUCUAGGUGACAUUAGGGUUUUGGUUGAUUUGUGUCUUAAGGUGUUAUUCUAGUACGAACUCUAGGGCUGUUUGUGACACUUAUAGGAAUAGCCCAACGGAUUGAUUGGAAAGAAUAACUUUGAGGUGGUUUCGUACCCUACCAUAAUCUCUUCAUUCGUUCUCCGCUAUUAAUGACUUUGGAGUGACUCUUUGUUGCAUGUUGAGGGAUAGUUUUAUGAUCCAAUUAUGUUAGUAUUGUCGAGGGAACUUACACUAGCGAAAGUAUGAACCCCAGGCCUUAUUUCCACGCAUUGCAAUACCGUUUAUGCUCACUUUUAUCAUUAGUUACCUUGCUGUUUUUAUUAUUUCAGAUUACCUUUAUCUACUAUCCAUAUACCACUUGUUUCACCAUCUCUUCGCUGAACUAGUGCACCUAUACAAUUUACCAUUGUAUUGGGUGUGUUGGGGACACAAGAGACUCUUUGUUAUUUGGUUGCAGGGUUGCUUGAGAGAGACCAUCUUCAUCCUACGCCUCCUACGGAUUGAUAAACCUUAGGUCAUCCACUUGAGGGAAAUUUGCUACCGUCCUACAAACCUCUGCACUUGGAGGCCCAACAACGUCUACAAGAAGAAGGUUGUGUAGUAGACAUCACGCCUCAUCGCACAAGUAGAGGUAAAUUAGCCCACGGCCAUACAUAUGACCUCCGGCAAAACCUGAAUAAUAAAGCAGGACAUACCAGAUCAAUCUACGGAUCGCGAGGACGUGCCUCGACACGCGACGACGGCCACCUAUUCAGACGUGACAAACUUAGUCAUGUGCAGGCUAAAAACCGCAGACGGACUCCAUCAGAGCUACGUCGCGAUACGGCCCGAUAUAGAGGUGCCGCACACCCUCAUUGCUUCACUCAUGAGGUCAUGGAUCAUGAAUUCCCAGAAGGGUUCAAACCCGUGAAUAUAAAAUCAUACGAUGGAACCACGGACCCCACAGUGUGGACCGAAGACUUCAUUCUCCACAUUCAUAUGGCCAGCGGCGAUGAUCUCCAUGCCAUCAAAUACCUCCCUUUAAAACUCAAGGGGCCAGCUCGGCAUUGGCUCAACAGUCUGCCUGAAAAUCCUAUUGGCGGUUGGGAGGACUGGGAAGAGGCCUUCCUCGAUAACUUCCAAGGUACAUAUGUUCGAGCUCCGGACGCUGGUGACUUAAGCCAUAUAGUUCAACAGCCCGGAGAGUCCGCCAGGAAAUUCUAGACUAGGUUCUUAACUAAAAAGAACCAAAUCGUCGAUUGUCCAGAUGCCGAAGCCCUAGCAGCCUUCAAACACAGCAUCCGCGAUGAAUGGCUCGCUCGCCACCUCGGCCAAGAAAAGGCAAAAUCCAUGGCGUUCCUCACGGCACUCAUGACCUGCUUUUGUGCGGGCGAGGACAGUUGGUUGGCCCGUAGCAAAAACAAUGCAAGCGACGCCCGCACCCCUGAAGUUAAAAAUAACAAAGACAAGUCUCGACGCAAUAGAUACAAGCGUCAAAACAACAGUGAUAACACCGAGGAUACGACGGUCAAUGCCGGAUUCAGUGGCUCUAAGUCUGGCCAACGGAAGAAGCCUUUCCAAAAGAACAAUUCAGGCCCAUCCAGCUUGGACCGCAUACUUGAUCGUCCGUGCCAGAUUCAUGGCACCCCGGACAAACCACCCAAUCAUACAAAUAGAGAUUGUUGGGUUUUAAACAGGCCGGCAAAUUAAACGCCGAGAACAUGGAAAAGGGAGCACAAAGCAAGGACGAUGACGAAGAGCCCCGGCAACCGAACACAGGGGGACAGAAGAAGUUUCCCCCUCAGGUCAAAACAGUGAACAUGAUAUACGCUACCCACAUCCCCAAGAGGGAGCGCAAGCGUGCGCUCAGGGACGUCUAUGCGAUAGAGCCAGUCGCCCCAAAAUUUAAUCCAUGGUCGUCAUGCCCGAUCACUUUCGAUCGCCGGGAUCAUCCGACCAGUAUCCGUCAUGGCGGUUCAGCCGCACUGGUCUUGGACCCAAUAAUUGAUGGGUUCCACCUGACGCGAGUCCUGAUGGACGGUGGCAACAGCCUCAACUUGCUCUAUUAGGAUACAAUGCGCAAAAUGGGCAUUAAUCCAUCAUGGAUCAAGCCCACCAAGACUACCUUCAAAGGCGUCAUACUAGGUGUAGAGGCCCGCUGUACGAGCUCAAUCACACUAGAGGUUGUCUUCGGAUCUCCGGACAACUUCCGAAGCAAGUUGUUAAUCUUCGAUAUUGUCCCCUUCCGCAGCGGCUAUCGCGCACUGCUCGGACGAACUGCGUUUGCUCGAUUCAACGCAGUACCACACUAUGAUUAUCUCAAGCUCAAGAUGCCCGGUCCACGUGACGUCAUAACGGUCAAUGGAAAUACAGAACGCUCCCUCCGUAAAGAAGAGCACACAGCUACCUUAGCAGCAGAAGUACAAAGCGACCUUCUCAAGCAGAACCUUAAUUCGGCUGCCGAGCCCACGGAUACAUUCAAGAGGGUCCGAACUACUCUGUAGCAGGAGAGAUCGGGUCGUCAGGAGCUCGACUAGCAAUCCGGCCUCCGUCUCAGCCCCGAUCAAGUGAUGGCAUUCGUGCCGCCCUUACAUAACUACGCACUCAAAAUCCCAUGGGCAUCAACGGAGGCAUAGCUAGCUCGUGGUCCAUAGUACGGCUAAACCGACAUCGGAUACACACAUACUUUCACUUUUACUUGUUUCCUUUUCAGGUCUCAAUCCCACAGGCCCCAUCUGGUGGUCUAGUCAUCGGUCCUAUUGAAGGAUAAACACAACAAGACGGCGAGACACGCAGACAUAUGGGGGACUUUGUAGGUGAUUCCGUUAACGAUAACUCUACCAGUUUUCAGGACCCACAUGUAGCUCUCCCUUGGUUUCGGCAUGUCAAAUAGCCUGUUGCUUAUCGCAUUACCUGUAUCAAUGCGCCUUGACGUACUAAUUAAAUUACAAUGAGAACAGUUUGCAGCUGGAGCUUUAGGACCCCAACUUUUUACCUUUGCACCUUUUCUAUUUUCUUUCUCUCUCUUUUUCUCUCAGCUCCCCUGUGGAUAACCCUAUCAGGUAGCAUCCGUUCACUUUGGUAUGUUUGAUGUUUGCCAGGGGCUUCAUAGCACCCCACAUUACGGCAACAAAAGUCCGAACAAUUUUUAUAAGUAUAGUUCGGCACCCCGAAUUUAGCAUUAUAUGCAUUGGCUCCGAAUCAUGUCUUUGGUCAAUAGUUGGGUUGCCCGGCUCAUGUGCUUGCUACCUUACGUUCCGCUAUAUCGGCUAAGGUAGUAAAGGGAGAACUACUACGAUUGUGCCUUGGUUUAUCCAAAGGAGCACCUCGGUAGAGAAAGCUGAAAACUGAUUGUCAUGAUGCGGCGAGAGCCAGUCAGCUGUUUGGAGGUUACCAAUCAUUGGAUAUUUCUUCUGCAUUAUGCGAAGGAUUGGUACUUCCCAAUCAGACUCUUAUAGCACUCUAGUUCGGAUACUAGGGGUUGCGCCCAUGUUUUUAUUGUGAAACUCCUAUGGCUAAGUGAGGGCAUUCAAGCCGCAUAGUCUGGUUGCCUGGUUCGUUGCGCUAAACAAUUCCUUCAAGGACCAUAUAAUUGGAUCAAGAUUGUUUAGAUUCCAUCCUGAACACACCCGUACUACCUACGUGGGGGCAGAAGCCGACAACUGUCCAACCCUCAGAUUUCAUACAACAGGCCGCACAGGAGGAAACAAUUAAAACAUAACAAGCAUUAUAUUACAUAACAUCAUUGUUUCAUGUUACAUGAUAGGAUAAUACGAAUAUUUUGAUGGGAAUAUAACAUCCUUCGCACAUUGCUCCGCCAUAAGGCGGGAUCCCUCCAGGACACCAUCAAAAUAUAACUCGGGUUGGCGGUGCUCCUUGCCCUCAGGCGGCCCCUCGAUCAUCAGCUUCUUGGCAUCCAUCUUCGCCCAGUGCAUCUUAACACAGGCAAAUGCCAUCCGGGCACCUUCAAUACAGACCGACCGCUUUAUGACCUAAGCCAUGGGCACGCACAAACAAGCCGCUUCACAAGUCCGAAGUAGCCGCGGGGUAUCGGCGCGGCAGGCCAUAGUCGGACUAUCAGGUCCUUCAUGGCUAGCUCGGCCGCCUUGUGCAGCUCGACCAGCUGUUUCAGCUGGUCGCUGAAGGGUACCGGAUGUUCUGGUCCAAGAUAUUGAGACCAGAACAGCUUCUCCGUAGAACUCCCUUCUUUGGCUCAAUAGAACUCAGUAGCAUCUGAUACGCUGCGCGGCAAAUCCGUAAACGCCCCUGGAGAGCUCCAAAUUCGGGUAAGUAAAAGCAAUGUUUCCUUCACAGACUGGCUUUGCAUAAUGAAAGCCUUACCCGCCGCGAUCUUCUUGGCUGCCUGGAUUUCCUGAAGGGCGCUCUGGGCCUCGGCUCGAGCCUCUUGUGCGCUCUGGCGGGCCUUCGCAAGUUCGGACGCUUGCUUCUUAGAAUCACCCUCCAAGGACUCGUACUUCUUGACGGCGUCCUAGAGCUCUUCUGAACCUCGCUGACCCGGGCCUCGUGCUUCUCGCGCGCGACACGCUCCUUGGCCGCUUUGUCCUCGGCCUCGGCUAACGCCUUCUUGAGGGCCACCACCUCGGUCGUGGCCCCUAAUAAAAUUCAUGACACUUUAGUCAGCACGAAACAUUCAUCCUUCCUAAAUAUACGCGCAUGUCACUGCAUACCUUGGUUUUCCUCCAGCUGCUUCUUCAUGAGGCCAAGCUCUUCUUGGGCCCACUCCAGGCUCUGCUUUAGGCCGGAGACCUCUGCAGUAUGAGCGGCAGCAUCCAGCAGCGACGCCUGCUUAUUCACAUAAACAUCUUAUGUUAGACUCCUGCAAAAAUUAUUUUGAUCCUCUGUUCGGCUUUUUUUCGAACACCGAACAGAGCAUCAGGGGCUACUGUCUACACUGUGAUAUCCUUUCUACAAUUACAUUACUUACCUCAAAGCUUGUUAAAAGGCUAGCAUAGGCUUUGGUCAGUCCGCUUUUGGUGGACUGAACCUUCUAGAUCACUGUACCCAUAAGGACACGGUGUUCAUCCACAAUGGAAGCGCCUCGCGGCGCUUCCAGUAGAUUAUCCGGUGCCUCUGGUUGGACAGAGGUCACCGGCGGAACAGGCACACCUCCUCCUUUUGAGGAAGACCGUUCGCUGGACUCCGGAGCCGUGUAGGUCUCCGAAAUGGUAUCCGGCUGGGGAUCGAAUGGAAUUUGGCCCCCAUCACCAGUCCCCACGGGGCCUUUUUCCCCCAUGUGUCCGGCGAUCGAGGAGUCAUCCUUGGGCGCCACCCCGACAAUCUCCGGAACCUCCCCCCCCAGUCUAGGAAGGUCCUUUGGAACACCACCUCGUCAUCACCCUUGGCCGAGAUAGAGUGAGCAGGCGGCGGUGACAUGCUAGCCAUCUCCUUUGAAUCUAGCGAACCCUCUGUCGAGGAUCGCGGGGAGCUGUCGCGGGCCGGACUGUGAUGGCAUGAUUUAAACAUAUUAAUAUUACAAAAUGGAAAGGCCAGGCAUUUAGACGUGCAUAAGGUUUUUGGUACUUACGAGGCGGCCCGAGGCUUGGUCCGGGGCAUUCGCUCUGGACUGCUAUCAACAUCCCACGUGGAAUUAUCCGCAAGGGAGCCCUUCCCCCUCUUGGGCGUCUUCGCCUCCAAAUUUGGGGAGGCCCCCCUUUUCUUCCUUCCCCCCAGGGGGGAGUCCCUUUCUUCUUCCUUGUCGUCGUCGUCUUCGGCGGCCGAAGAGUGAGUCUCGUCUUCGGACGUCACGUUCGAAGCGCCUUUUCGGCGAAGGCCACUCUAGCCCCCCUUGGCCGUUUUCUUGGCCUUCUUCUCCAGCACAUCAUAAGGCGCCGGAAACAGCAUCUUCGCCAGAAGUGGGGUUUCUUGGUCUUCGGGCAGCGGAGCCGGACAGUUAAUCCGCCCCGCUAUGUCGAUCUAGGCCUAAAAAUUGAUGGGAAGGCUUAGACUCCUUCUCAAAAUAUGCUAGUAAAGGCUAUACCUUGAAAACAUGAUAGAACUUGCCGAAUUAGCCUUGCAUUUUAAGAUAAGCCCGCGAUCCUUGGUCGUAGGCAGUGGUGUCUCGCCGGCCUUGAAGAGCACUUUCCAUAUGUCUUUGCGCGUCGUGCCAAAGAGAUCUAGCAGUGUCUGGUGCUUGGCUGGAUCGAAAUCCCACAAAUAGCAAGUCCGGCGUUGGCACGGAAGGAUCCGGCGAAUGAGCAUAACCUGGAUCACGUUGACAAGUUUGAUUCUCUUGGUUAUCAUGUUCUGGACGCACAUUUGGAGCCCAGUUAGCUCGUUCGAAGAACCCCAGGUUUGACCCUUCUCUUGCUAGGAGGUGAGCCACAUCGGAACUCCGGAUCAGAAUUUGGGGGCCACCGCCCAGUUGGUGUCACGUGGCUCGGUGAUGUAGAACCACCCCGACUGCCACCCCUUCACCGUCUCCACAAAGGAGCCUUCGAGCCAUGUGACAUUGGGCAUCUUGCCCACCAUGGCGCCUCCGCACUCUGCUUGUUGGCCUCUCACCACCUUCGAAUUUACAUUAAAGGUCUUCAGCCAUAGGCUGAAGUGAGGUGGGAUAUGGAGAAAGGCCUCGCAAAUGACUAUAAAUGCCGAGAUGUUGAGGAUAAAGUUCGGGGCUAGAUUCAUGGAAGUCCAGACCGUAGUAAAACAUCAAUCCGCGGACAAACGGGUGGAGAGGGAAUCCCAGCCUAUGGAAGAAAUGUGUGAGAAACACAAUCCUCUCAUGGAGCUCUGGGUAGGGACGGGCUGUCCCUUGGGCGGGAUACAGUAAACGAUCUCCUUGGCCAGAUAUCCGGCCUCUCGGAGCUCCUUGAUGUCUUUCUUCUUAACAGAGGAGGCCAUCCACUUGCCUCCAGCUCCGGAUUCGGACAUGGUUGCAGUGCUUUAUCCAACGAGGGAACCUAGAGCUUGGGCGCUGGAGCUCAAGAAUGGAUGGGCAGAGGAAGGAUAAGGCGUGGGUGAAUGAGGACGAAUCCUUAUCCCCUUGUAAAGGCCGCGAAUGUGAAACGCCUUCCUACUCGCCUUAAAAUUCGCCUACUCCCAAGGGUUGUAUAAACGGCACGGUUGGGUUACCCAUGCCCGUAUUGAUGAGGAUCCCGCAAUAAGGGGACACGACCUCUGCUUUGACAAGACGUGCCAAUAGAAAUCGCAUCUUGAAACACGGGAUGGCGGACAAAACGGUUUGAUAUAGUGACCGGGCAGAUGUGAUGUCAUGUUGUAAAAAAGUUGUCAGCGGAUUGGACUGGUGGAAUAUAUAUUCUCUCUACGGCCGUGUGUGGUGUGGUGUUACAGGUCCGGACACAUUCAAAUACGUCCAAAGACUAUCUUGGAGUUCAGAGGGAGGAACCCGCCUUGCAAUGGCGAAGACAGAUCUACGCACCGGAUACUUUGUCAUUGAAGCCAGUUUCAGGGGCUACUGAGGGAGUCCUGGACUAAGGGGUCCUCGGGCGUCCGGCCUUUUAGCCACGGGCCGGACUAAUGGGCUGUGAAGAUACGGAGACCAAAGACUGCACCCGUGUCCGGAUGGGACUCUCCUUGGCAUGGAAGGCAAGCUUGGCGACCAAAUAUGUAGAUUACUUUCUUUGGAACCGACCUUGUGUAACCCUAGAUCCUCUCGGUGUCUAUAUAAACCGGAGGACUUGGUCCGGAGGAGAGACAUUAUCAUAACCAUACAAGCUAGGCCUCUAGGGUUUAGCCAUUACGACUCAUGGUAGAUCAACUCUUGUAAUACUCAUAUUCAUCAAGAUCAAUCAAGCAGGACAUAGGGUAUUACCUCCAUAGAGAGGGCUCGAACCUGGGUAAAACAAUGUGUCCCCUGUCUCCUGUUACCAUCGACCUUAGACACAUAGUUUAGGACCCCCUACCCAAGAUCCGACGGUUUUGACACUCACACUUGACCCAUUCCGUUAGCUUAGCAUGAUGAUCGUUUAGUUUGUUGCUACUGCUUUCUUCAUGACUUAUACAGUAUCCUCUGACUAUGAGAUUAUGCAACUCCCGAAUACCGGAGGAACACUACAGGUGUCUACAGGUGUCUCCGAUGGUGUUUGUUGAGUUGGCAUAGAUCAAGAUUAGGAUUUGUCACUCCGAUUGUCGGAGAGGUAUCUCUAGGCCCUCUCGGUAAUGCACAUCACUAUAAGCCUUGCAAGCAAUGUGACUAAUAAGUUAGUUGCGGGAUGAUGCAUUAUGGAAUGAGUAAAGAGACUUGCCGUUAACGAGAUUGAACUAGGUAUUGAGAUACCGCCGAUCGAAUCUCGGGCAAGUAACAUACCGAUGACAAAGGGAACAAUGUAUGUUGUUAUGCGGUUUGACCGAUAAAGAUCUUCGUAGAAUGUAGGAACCAAUAUGAGCAUCUAGGUUUCGCUGUUGGUUAUUGACCGGAGAUGAGUCUCGGUCAUGUCUACAUAGUUCUCGAACCUGUUGGGUCUGCACGCUUAACGUUCGGUGACAAUCGGUAUUAUGAGUUUAUGUGUUUUGAUGUACCGAAGGAAGUUCGGUGUCCCGGAUGUGAUCACGGACAUGACGAGGAGUCUCGAAAUGGUUGAGACAUAAAGAUUGAUACAUUGGACGGCUACAUUCGGACACCAGAAGAGUUUCGGUGAUCUCGAAGAAAACCAGAGUGCCCUAGGGGUUACCGGAACCCCCCGGGGACUAAUGGGCCUUAAUGGGCCCUAGUGGAGAGAGUGGGGCCGGCCAAGGCAGGCCGCACGCCCCCUCCCCUUGAGUCCGAAUAGGACAAGGAAGGGGGGCGGCGCCCCCCUUGCCUUUCCCCUCUCCCACUCCUUCCUUCCCCCUCCUAGUGGGACUAGGAAAGGGGAGUCCUACUCCCACUAGGACGAGGACUCCUCCACUUGGCGCACCCUCCUAGGGCCAUCCUGCCUCCCUCCUUGCUCCUUUAUAUACGGGGACAGGGGGGCACCCCAUGACACACAAGUUGAUCAUUGAUCUUUUAGCCAUGUGCGGUGCCCCCCUCCACCAUAAUCCACCUCGGUUAUAUCGUAGCGGUGCUUAGGCAAAGCCCUGCGUCGGUAGCUUCAUCAACACCGUCAUCACGCCGUCGUGCUGAAGGAACUCUCCCACAAAGCUCUACUGGAUCGUGAGUUUGUGGGACGUCAUCGAGCAGAACGUGUGCAGAUCGCGGAGGUGUCGUACAUUCGGUACUAGGAUCGGUCGAUCAUGAAGUCGUACGACUACAUCAACCGCGUUGUCAUAACGCUUCCGCUUAAGGUCUACGAGGGUACGUGGACGACACUCUUUCCUCUCGUUGCUAUGCAUCACCAUGAUCUUGCGUGUGGGUAGGAAAGUUUUGAAAUUACUGCGUUACCCAACAGAUAAGAUCACCAUCGCACACUCCUUUUACCUUCGGGAUUAGUGUUGAACCUAAAAGAAAUGUUAUUUCGUGUUUGCGUUGAGCAUGAAUAUGAUUGGAUCAUGUUUACUGCGAUAAGGUUAUUCAUUUAAGUCAAAGAAUAAUUGUCAUUCUGUUUACAUGAAUAAAACCUUCUAUGGUCAUACACUUAAUAUAAAUGGUUUAUUGAAUCUCGAUCAUAAUGAUACACAUAUUCAUAAUAUUGAUGCCAAAAGAUGCAAAGUUGAUAAUGAUAGUGCAACAUACUUGUGGGACUGCCGUUUAGGUCAUAUUGGUGUAAAGCGCAUGAAGAAACUCCAUGCGAAUGGACUUUUGGAAUCACUUGAUUAUUAAUCAUUUGAUGCUUGUGAGGCAUGCCUCAUGGGCAAGAUGACUAAGACUCCGUUUUCCGGAACAAUGGAGCGAGCCACUAACUUAUUGAAAACUACAUACCGAUGCAUGCGGUCCGAUGAGUGUUGAGGCUCGCGGCGGGCAUCAUUAUUUUCUAACCCUCACAGAUGAUUUGAGAAGAUAUGGGUAUAUCUACUUAAUGAAACACAAGUCUGAAACAUUUGCAAAAGUUCAAAGAAUUUCAUAGUGAAGUGGAGAAUCAUUGUAACAAAAAAAUAAAAGUUUCUACAAUCCGAUCGCGGAGGCAAAUAUUUGAGUUACGAGUUUGGUCUUCAUUUGAAACAAUGUGGAAUAGUUUCACAACUCACGUCACCUGGAACACCACAGUGUAAUGGUGUGUCUGAACGUCAUAACCGUACUUUAUUAGAUAUGGUGCGAUCUAUGAUGUCUCAUACCGAUUUACCACUAUCGUUUUGGGGUUAUUCUUUAGAGACGGCUGCAUUCACAUUAAAUAGGGCACCAUGUUAAUCCGUUGAAAUGACACCAUAUGAACAGUGGUUUGGCAAGAAACCUAAGUUCUCGUUUCUUAAAGUUUGGGGUUGCGAUGAUUAUGUGAAAAGGCUUCAACCUGAUAAGCUUGAACCCAAAUCGGAGAAAUGUGUCUUCAUAAGAUACCCAAAAUAAACUGUUGGGUACGCCUUCUAUCACAGAUCCGAAGGUAAGAUAUUUGUUGCUAAAAAUGGAUCCUUUCUAGAGAAGGAGUUUCUCUUGAAAGAAGUGAGUAGGAGGAAAGUAGAAGUUGGUGAGGUAGUUGUACCUUCUCCCGAAUAGGAAAGUAGCUCAUCACAGAAAUCAGUUCCAGUGAUGCCCGCACCAACUAGAGAGGAAGCUAAUGAUAAUGAUCAUGAAACUUCAGAUCAAGUUACUACCGAACCUCGUAGGUCAACCCGAGCACAUUCCGCACCAGAGUGGUACAGUAAUCCUGUUCUGGAAGUCAUGUUACUAGACCAUGACGAACUUACGAACUAUGAGGAAGCGAUGAUGAGCCCAGAUUCUGAUAAAUGGCUUGAGGCCAUGAUAUCUGAGAUAGGAUCCAUGUAUGAGAACAAAGUGUGGACUUUGGUGGACUUCCCGAUGAUCGGCAAGCCAUUGAGAAUAAAUGGAUCUUCAAAGAGGAAGAUGGACGGUGAUGAUAGUGUUACUAUCUACAAAUCUUGGCUUGUCGCAAAAAUGUUUUUGACAAGUUCAAGGUGUUGACUACGAUUAGAUUUUAUCACUCGUAGCGAUGCUUAAGUCUAUUCGAAUCAUGUUAGCAAUUGUCUCAUUUUAUGAAAUUUGGCAAAUGGAUGUCAAAAUUGCAUUCCUUAACGGAUAUCUUUAAGAAGAGUUGUAUAUGACGCAACCAGAAGGUUUUGUCGAUCCUAAAGGUGCUAACAAAAUGUGCAAGCUCCAGCGAUCCAUUUAUGGACUGGUGCAAGCAUCUCAGAGUUGGAAUAUAUGCUUUGAUGAGGUGAUCAAAGCUUACGGUUUUAUACAGACUUUCAGAGAAGCCUGUAUUUACAAGAAAGUGAGUGGGAGCUCUAUAUAAAAUUAUAUCCUUUGAUCAACUCAUCAAAGCGUAUAUUCCAACUCCGAGAUGCUGGCACCAGUCCAUAGAUGGAUCGCUGGAGCUUGCACAUUUUGUUAGCAUUUUUAGGAUUGACAAAACCUUGUUAUUGCAUCAUAUACAACUCUUCUUUAAGAAAUCUAUUAAGGAAUACAAUUUUGACAUCCAUUUGCCAGAUUUCAUAAAAUGUGGCAAUUGCUAACAUGAUUCGGACAGACUUAAGCAUCGCUACGAGUGAGAAAAUCUCAUAGUAGUCAACACCUUGAACUUGUCGAAACCUUUUGUGAUAAGUCGAGCUUUGUAGAUAGUAACACUACCAUCAAUGUUUGUCUUCCUCUUGAAGAUUCAUUUAUUCUCUAUGGCUUGCCGAUCAUCUGGCAAGUCAACCAAAGUCCAUACUUUGUUUUCAUACAUGGAUCCCAUCUCAGAUUUCAUGGCCUCAAGCCAUUUCGCGGAAUCUAGGCUCAUCAUCGCUUCCUCAUAGUUCGUAGGUUCAUCAUGGUCUAGUAACAUGACUUCCAGAAUAGGGUUACUGUACCACUCUGGUGCGGAACGUGCUCUGGUUGAAUUACGAGGUUCGGUAGUAACUUGACCUGAAGUUUCAUGAUGAUCAUCAUCAUUAACUUCCUCACUAAUUGGUGUAGGCAUCACUGAAACUAAUUUCUGUGAUGAACUACUUUCCUAUUCGAGAGAAGGUACAGUUACCUCAUCAAGUUCUACUUUCCUCCCACGUACUUCUUUCGAGAGAAACUCCUUCUCUAGAAAGGAUCCAUUCUUAGCAACAAAUAUCUUGCCUUGGGAUCUGUGAUAGAAGGUGUACCCAAUAGUUUACUUUGGGUAUCCUAUGAAGACACAUUUCUCUGAUUUGGGUUCGAGCUUAUCAGGUUGAAGCUUUUCCACAUAAGCAUCGCAACCCUAAACUUUAAGAAACGAUAGCUUAGGUUUCUUGCCAAACCAUAGUUCAAACGGUGUCGUCUCAACGGAUUUAGAUGGUGUCCUAUUUAACAUGAAUGCAACUGUCUCUAAUGCAUGACCCCAAAACGAUAGUGGUAAAUCGGUAAGAGAUAUCAUAGAUCGCACCAUAUCUAAUAAAGUGUGGUUAUGACGAUCAGACACACCAUUACACCGUGGUGUUCCAGGUGGCGUGAGUUGCGACACUAUUCCAUAUUGUUUCAAAUAAAGACCAAACUCGUAACUCAAAUAUUCGCCUCUGCGAUCAGAUCGUAGAAACUUUAUUUUCUUGCUAUGAUGAUUUUCUACUUCACUAUGAAAUUCUUUAAACUUUUCAAAUGUUUCAGACUUAUGUUUCAUUAAGUAGAUAUACCCAUAUCUGUUCAAAUCAUCUAUGAAGGUCUGAAAAUAAUGAUACCUGCUGCGAGCCUCAACACUCAUCAGACUGCAUACAUCGGUAUGUAUUAUUUCCAAUAAGUCAGUGGCUCGCUUCAUUGUUCCGGAGAAUGGAGUCUUAGUCAUCUUGCCCAUGAGGCAUGGUUCACAAGCAUCAAGUGAUUCAUAAUCAAGUGAUUCCAAAAGCCCAUCAGCAUGGAGUUUCUUCAUGCGCUUUACACCAAUAUGACCUAAACGGCAGUGCCACAAAUAUGUUGCACUAUCAUUAUCAACUUUGCAUCUUUUGGCAUCAAUAUUAUGAAUUUGUGUAUCACUACGAUCGAGAUUCAAUAAGCCAUUCACAUUGGGUGUAUGACCAUAUAAGGUUUUAUUCAUAUAAACAGAACAACAAUCAUUCUCUGACUUAAAUGGAUAAAUGUAUUGCAAUAAACAUGAUCUAAUCAUAUUAAUGCUCAGCACAAACACCAAAUAACAUUUAUUUAGGUUCAAUUCUAAUCCCGAAGGUAGAGGGAGUGUGCGAUGGUGAUCGUAUCAACCUUGGAAUUACUACCAACACAUAUCGUCACCUCAUCUUUAACUAGUCUCGAUUUAUCUUGCAACUCCUAUUUCAAGUUACUACUCUUAGCAACUGAACCAGUAUCUAAUACCGAGGGGUUUCUAUAAACACUAGUAAAGUACACAUCAAUAAUAUGUAUAUCAAAUAUACCUUCGUUCACUUUGACAUCCUUCUUAUCCGCCAAGUAUCAAGGGCAGUUCCACUUCUAGUGACCAUUUCUUUUGUAGUAGAAGCACUCAGUUUCAGGCUUGGGUCUGGCUUUGGGCUUCUUCAUGGGAGUGACAACUUUCUUGUCAUUCUUUUGAAGUUUUCCCUUUCUUUCCCUUGCCAUCAACACUUGAUGAUUUUUCUUGAUUUCUAUCUUUGCUGAUUUCAGCAUUGCGAAGAGCUUGGGAAUUGUUUUCGUCAUCCCCCGCAUAUUAUAGUUCAUCAUGAAGUUCUAGUAACUUGGUGAUAGUGACUAGAGAACACUAUCAAUCACUAUCUUAUCUGGAAGAUUAACUCCCACUUGAUUCAAGCGAUUGUAGUACCCAGACAUUCUGAGCAUAUGCUCACUAGCUGAGCUAUUCUGUAGGCAAAGUACUUUGUCAAAGGUCUCAUACCUCUUAACAUGGGCAUGAGUCUUAAAUACCAAUUUCAACUCUUGGAACAUCUCAUAUGCUCCAUGUCGUUCAAAACAUUUUUGAAGUCCCGGUUCUAAGCCGUAAAGCAUGGUGCACUAAACUAUAAAGUAGUCAUCAUACCGAGCUUGUCAAACGUUCACAACAUCUACAUCUGCUCCUGCAAUAGUUCUGUCACCUAGCGGUGCAUCAAGGACAUAAUUCUUCUGCGCAGCAAUGAGGAUAAUCCUCAGAUCACGGACCUAGUCCGCAUCAUUGCUACUAUCAUCUUUGAACUUAGUUUUCUCUAGGAACAUAUCAUAAAUCAAAUGGGGAAGCUUUAUGCGAGCUAUUGAUCUACAACAUAGAUAUGAAAAUACUAUCAGGACUAAGUUCAUGAUAAAUUUAAGUUCAAUUAAUCAUAUUACUUAAGAACUCCCACUUAGAUAGACAUCCCUUGAGCCAUCUAAAUAAUCACGUGAUCCAUAUCAACUAAACCAUGUCUGAUCAUCACGUGAGAUGGAGUAGCUUUCAAUGGUGAACAUCUCUAUGUUGAUCAUAUCUACUAUAUGAUUCACGUUCGACCUUUCGGUCUCAGUGCUCCGAGACCAUUUCAGCAUAUGGUAGGCUCGUCAAGUUUAACCCGAAUAUUCUGGACGUGCAAAACUGGUUUGCACCCAUUGUAUGUGAACAUAGAGAUUAUCACACCCGAUCAUCACGUGGUGUCUCGGCACGACGAACUAUAGCAACGGUGCAUACUCAGGGAGAACACUUUGAUACAUCUCCAAUGUAUCUAUAAUUUUUGAUUGUUCCAUGCUACUAUAUUAUCAACCUUGGAUGUUUUAUAUGCAUUCAUAUGCUACUUUAUAUGAUUUUUGGGACUAACCUAUUAACCUAGAGCCCAGUGCCAGUUUCUAUUUUUUCCCUUGUUUUAGAGAAUCGCAGGAAAGGAAAAUCAAAUGGAAUCCAAUUGACCUGAAACUUCACGGAACUUAUUUUUGGAAGGAAAGCAACCCGGGAGACUUGGAGUCCAUGUAAGGGAAGCAACGAGGAAGCCACGAGUCAGGGGGCGCGCCCACCCCCCUGGGCGCCCCCUCCACCCUCGUGGGCCCCUCGUGGCUCCCCUGACGUACUUCUUCCGCCUAUAUAUCUCCAUAUACCCUAAAAUGAUCGGGGAGCACAAUAGAUCGGGAGUUCCGCCGCUAGAAGCCUCCGUAGCCACCGAAAGCCAAUCUAAACACGUUCCGGCACCCUGCCGGAGGGGGAAAUCCCUCUCCGGUGGCCAUCUUCAUCAUCCCGGUGCUCUCCAUGACGACGAGGGAGUAGUUCUCCCUCGGGGCUGAGGGUAUGUACCAGUAGCUAUGUGUUUGAUCUCUCUCUCUCUCUCUCGUGUUCUUGAGGUGGUACGAUCUUGAUGUAUCGCGAGCUUUUCUAUUAUAGUUGGAUCUUAUGAUGUUUUCUUCACCCCCCUCUACUCUCUUGUAAUGGAUUGAGUUUUCCCUUUGAAGUUAUCUUAUUGGAUUGAGUCUUUAAAGAUUUGAGAACACUUGAUGUAUGUCUUGCCGUGCGUAUCUGUGGUGACAAUGGGAUACCACGUGAUUCACUUGAUGUAUGUUUUGGUGAUCAACUUGCGGGUUCCGCCCAUGAACCCAUGCAUAGGGGUUGGCACACGUUUUCGUCAUGAUUCUCCGGUAUAAACUUUGGGGCACUCUUUGAGGUUCUAUGUGUUGGUUGAAUAGAUGAAUUUGAGAUUGUGUGAUGCAUAUCGUAUAAUCAUACCCAUGGAUACUUGAGGUGACAUUGGAGUAUAUAGGUGACAUUAGGGUUUUGGUUGAUUUGUGUCUUAAGGUGUUAUUCUAGUACGAACUCUAGGGCUGUUUGUAACACUUAUAGGAAUAGCCCAACGGAUUAAUUGGAAAGAAUAACUUUGAGGUGGUUUCGUACCCUACCAUAAUCUCUUCGUUUGUUCUCCGCUAUUAGUGACUUUGGAGUGACUCUUUGUUGCAUGUUGAGGGAUAGUUAUAUGAUCUAAUUAUGUUAUUAUUGUUGAGAGGACUUGCACCAGCGAAAGUAUGAACCCUAGGCCUUGUUUCAACGCAUUGCAAUACCGUUUACGCUCACUUUUAUCAUUAGUUACCUUGCUGUUUUUAUAAUUUCAGAUUACAAAAACCUUUAUCUACUAUCCAUAUUGCACUUGUAUCACCAUCUCUUCGCCGAACUAGUGCACCUAUACAAUUUACCAUUGUAUUGGGUAUGUUGGGGACACAAGAGACUCUUUGUUAUUUGGUUGCAGGGUUGCUUGAGAGAGACCAUCUUCAUCCUACGCCUCCUACGGAUUGAUAAACCUUAGGUCAUCCACUUGACGGAAAUUUGCUACAGUGCUACAAACCUCUGCACUUGGAGGCCCAACAACGUCUACAAGAAGAAGGUUGUGUAGUAGACAUCAAGCUCUUUUCUGGCACCAUUGCCGGGGAGGUGAGUGCUUGAAGGUAUAUCUUUAGAUCUUGCAAUCGAGUCUUUUAGUUUCUUGUUUUAUCACUAGUUUAGUUUAUAAAAGAAAAUUAAAAAAAUGGAAUUAAGUUUGCCUCAUACGCUUCAUCUUUUUAAUAUCUUUAGUGAGUAUGAUGGAAAGGAAAAUUGUGCCAAAGUGUUAGAAGAAGAAUGCAUUAGGAUGUUUGGCACUAAAUAUUUGAAUGGUGAGCAUGAUUGAAAUGUUGUUAGUAUGAAUUCCUUGAAUAUCCAUGAUGCUAAUGAUAUGCAAAGCCACAAGCUUGGGGAAGCUAUGUUUGAUGAAGAUGAUAUUUUUUGUCCCCCAAGUUUUGAUGAGCAAAUUUAUUAUGAUGAAAGCAUGCCUCCUUUUUAUGAUGAUUAUAUUGAUGAAAGUGGAUUUGGAGAGGUCAUGACUUUAUUUUGUGAUGAAUCCACUAUUUCGGAAGAGGUUCCAAUUGAUUAUGGGAACAAAGUUGCUAUCUAUGAUGAUUAUUGUGAUGACUUGUAUGCUAUUAAGAAUAAUGAUAACCAUGAAACUUGUCAUCAUGAUUUUAGUUUUCAAUUGGAUUAUGCCUCACAUGGUAAUUAUUUUGUUGAGUUUGCUCCCACUACUAUUGAUGAGAAGAAUCUUGCUUAUGUGGAGAGUAGUAAAUUUUCUAUGCUUGUAGAUCAUGAAAAGAAUGCUUUAGGUUCUGAUUAUAUUGUUGAAUUCAUUCAUGAUGCUACUGGAAAUUAUUAUGAGGGAGGAACAUAUACUUGUAGGAAUUGCAAUAAUACCAACUUUCCUCUCUAUGUGCUUAAAAUUUUGAAGUUAUGCUUGUUUUACCUUCCUAUGCAAGUUGAUUCUUGUUCCCACAAGUUGUUUGCUCACAGAAUACCUAUGCAUAUGAAGAGGGAUAGACUUAAAUGUGCUAGUCAUAUUCUUCAUGAUGCUCUCUUUAUGUUUUAAUUCUAAUCUUUUAUGUGAGCAUCAUUGAAAUCAUCAUGCCUAGCUAGGGGCGUUAAACGAUAGCGCUUGUUGGGAGGCAACCCAACUUUAUUUUUGUUCCUUACUUUUUGCUCCUGUUUAGUAAUAAAUAAUUCAUCUAGCCUCUGUUUAGAUGUGGUUUUAUUCUCUUAAUUAGUGUUUGUGCCAAGUAGAACCUUUGGGAAGACUUGGGGAAAGUCUUUGCGAUCAUGCUGUAAAAAACAAAAACUUUAGCGCUCACGAGAAUUGCUGCCAUUUUUAUUGGAGAGUGAUGUUUAGUUAAUUAUUUUUGCAUAUGAUUAAUAGAUAAAUUCCUAACUUCCAGCAAUUUAUUUUAGAAUUUUAUGAGUUCCAGAAGUAUACGUUUGAUCCAGAUUACUACAGACUGUUCUGUUUUUGACAGAUUCUGUUUUCGAUGUGUUGUUUGCUUAUUUUGAUGAAUCUAUGAGUAGUAUAGGAGGGUAUGAACCAUAUAUAAGUUGGAAUACAGUAGAUAUUACACCAAUAUGAAUUUAUAAUGAGUUCACAACAGUACAUAACUAGUGAUUUAUUUUCUUAUACUAACGGAGCUUACGAGUUUUCUGUUAAGUUUUGUGUUGUGAAGUUUUCAAGUUUUGGAUAAAGAUUCGAUGGACUAUGGAAUAAGGAGUGGCAAGAGCCUAAGCUUGUGGAUGACCAAGGCACCCCAAGGUAAUAUUCAAGGACAACCAAGAGCCUAAGCUUGGGGAUGCCCCGGAAGGCAUCCCCUCUUUCGUCUUCGUUCAACGGUAAGUUUACUUGGAGCUAUAUUUUUAUUCGCCACAUGAUAUGUGUUUUGCUUGGAGCGUCAUUUUAUUUCAUUUCAUUUUGCUUGCUGUUUGAAUAAAAUACCAAGAUCUGAAAUUAUUAAAUGUUAGAGAGUCUUCAGAUAGUUGCAUAAUUAUUCGACUACUCAUUGAUCUUCACUUAUAUCUUUCGGAGUAGUUUGUCAUUUGCUCUAGUGCUUCACUUAUAUCCUUUUAGAGCACGGUGGUGGUUUUAUUUUAUAGAAAUAGAUGAACUCGCAUGCUUCACUUAUAUUAUUUUGAGAGUCCUAAACAACAUGGUAGUUUGCUUUGGUUAUGAAACUAGUCCUAAUAUGAUGGGCACCCAAGAGGGAUAUAAUAAAAACUUCCAUAUAAGUGCAUUGAAUACUAAGAGAAGUUUGAUACUUGAUGAUUGUUUUGAGAUAUGGAGGUAAUAAUAUCAAAGUCGUGCUAGUUGAGUAGUUGUGAAUUUGAGAAAUGCUUGUGUUGAAGUUUGCAAGUCCCGUAGCAUGCACGUAUGGUAAACGUUGUGUAACAAAUUUGAAACAUGAGGUGUUAUUUGAUUGUCUUCCUUAUGAAUGGCGGUCGGGGAUGAGAGAUGGUCUUUUCCUACCAAUCUAUCCCCCUAGGAGCAUGCGCGUAAUGCUUGGUUUUUGAUGACUUGUAGAUUUUUGCAAUAAGUAUGUGAGUUCUUUAUGACUAAUGUUGAGUCCAUGGAUUAUACGCACUCUCACCCUUCCAUAAUUGCUAGCCUCUUCGGUACCGUGCACUGCCCUUUCUCACAUUGAGAGUUGGUGCCAACUUUGCCAGUGCAUCCAAACCCUGUGAUAUGAUACGCUCUUUCAUACAUAAACCUCCUUAUAUCUUCCUCAAAACAGCCACCAUACCUACCUAUUAUGGCAUUUCCAUAGCCAUUCCGAGAUAUAUUGCCAUGCAACUUUCCACUGUUUCAUUUAUUAUGACACACAUCAUCAUUGUCAUAUUGCUUUGCAUGAUCAUGUAGUUGACAUCGUAUUUGUGGCAAAGCCACCGUUCAUAAUUUUUCAUACAUGUCACUAUUGAUUCAUUGCAAUCCCGAUACACCGUAGGAGGCAUUCAUAUAGAGUCAUACUUUGUUCUAGUAUCAAGUUGUAAUCAUUGAGUUAUAAAUAAAUAGAAGUGUGAUGAUCAUCAUUUUCUAGAGCAUUGUCCCAAGUGAGGAAUAAAAAAAGAGAAGGCCCAAAAAAAGAGAGAGAAAGGCCAUAAAAAUGGAUAAAUGCCAUAAAAAAGAGAAGGCCCCCCCAAAAAAGAGAAAGGCCAUAAAAAAGGGAAGGCCCAAAAAAUGAGAGAAAAAGAGAGAAGGGACAAUGCUACUAUCUUUUGCCACACUUGUGCUUCAAAGUAGCACCAUAAUCCUCAUGAUUGAGAGUCUUUUGUUUUGUCACUUUCAUAUACUAGUGGGAAAUUUUCAUUAUAGAACUUGGCUUGUAUAUUCCAACAAUGGGCCUCCUCAAGUGCCCUAGGUCUUCGUGAGAAAGUAAGUUGGAUGCACACCCACUUAGUUUCUUUUGUUGAGCUUUCAUACAUUUAUAGCUCUAGUGCAUCCGUUGCAUGGCAAUCCCUACUCCUUGCAUUGACAUCAAUUGAUGGGCAUCUCCAUAGCUCAUUGAUUAGCCUCGUUGAUAUGAGACUUUCUCCUUUUUGUCUUCCCCACAUAACCCCCUCAUUAUAUUCUAUUCCACCCAUAGUGCUAUGUUCAUGGCUCGCGCUCAUGUAUUGCGUGAAGGUUUAUGAGUUUGAGCUUACUAAAGUAUGAAACAAUUGCUUGGCUUGUCAUCGGGGUUGUGCAUGAUGAGAGCAUUCUUGUGUGACGAAAAUGGAGCAUGACCAAACUAUAUGAUUUUGUAGGGAUGAACUUUCUUUGGCCAUGCUAUUUUGAGAAGACAUGAUUGCUUAGGUAGUAUGCUUGAAGUAUUAUUGUUUCUAUGUCAAUAUUAAACUUUUGUCUUGAAUUUUAUGGAUCUGAACAUUUAUGCCAAAAUAAAGAAGAAUUACUUAGAGAAAUAUGUUAGGUAGCAUUCCACAUUAAAAAAAUCUGUUUUUAUCAUUUACCUACUCGAGGACGGGCAGGAAUUAAGCUUGGGGAUGGUGAUACGUCUCCAACGUAUCUAUAAUUUUUGAUUGUUCCAUGAUAUUAUAUUAUCAACCUUGGAUGUUUUAUAUGCAUUCAUAUGCUAUUUUAUAUGAUUUUUGGGACUAACCUAUUAACCUAGAGCCCAGUGCCAGUUUCUGUUUUUUCCUUGUUUUAGAGUAUCGCGGAAAAGGAAAAUCAAACGGAGUCCAAUUGACCUGAAACUUCACGGAACUUAUUUUUGGAAGGAAAGCAACCCGGAAGACUUGGAGUCCACGUAAGGGAAGCAACGAGGAAGCCACGAGCCAGGGGGCGCGCCCACCCCCCUGGGCGCGCCCUCCACCCUCGUGGCUCCCUUGACGUACUUCUUCCGCCUAUAUAUCUCCAUAUACCCUAAAACGACCGGGGAGCACAAUAGAUCGGGAGUUCCGCCGCCAGAAGCCUCCUUAGCUACCGAAAGCCAAUCUAGUCCCGUUCCGGCACCCUGCCAGAGGGGGAAAUCCCUCUCCGGUGUCCAUCUUCAUCAUCCCGGUGCUCUCCAUGACGAGGAGGGAGUAGUUCUCCCUUGGGGCUGAGGGUAUGUACUAGUAGCUAUGUGUUUGAUCUCUCUCUCUCUCUCUCUCUCUCGUGUUCUUGAGGUGGUACGAUCUUGAUGUAUCACGAGCUUUGCUAUUAUAGUUGGAUCUUAUGAUGUUUUCUCCCCCUCUACUCUCUUGUAAUGGAUUGAGUUUUCCCUUUGAAGUUAUCUUAGAUUGAGUGUUUAAAGAUUUGAGAACACUUGAUGUAUGUCUUGCCGUGCGUAUCUGUGGUGACAAUGGGAUACCACGUGAUUCACUUGAUGUAUGUUUUGGUGAUCAACUUGGGGGUUCCUCCCAUGAACCUAUGCAUAGGGGUUGACACACGUUUUCGUCUUGAUUCUCCGGUAGAAACUUUGGGGCACUCUUUGAGAUUCUAUGUGUUGGUUGAAUAGAUGAAUCUGAGAUUGUGUGAUGCAUAUCGUAUAAUCAUACCCACGGAUACUUGAGGUGACAUUGGAGUAUCUAGGUGACAUUAGGGUUUUGGUUGAUUUGUGUCUUAAGGUGUUAUUCUAGUAUGAACUCUAGGGCUGUUUGUGACACUUAUAGGGAUAGCCCAACGGAUUGAUUGGAAAGAAUAACUUUGAGGUGGUUUCGUACCCUACCAUAAUCUCUUCGUUUGUUCUCUGCUAUUAGUGACUUUGGAGUGACUCUUUGUUGCAUGUUGAGGGAUAGUUAUAUGAUCCAAUUAAGUUAUUAUUGUUGAGAGGACUUGCACUAGUGAAAGUAUGAACCCUAGGCCUUGUUUCAACGCAUUGCAAUACCGUUUACGCUCACUUUUAUCAUUAGUUACCUUGCUGUUUUUAUAAUUUCAAAUUACAAAAACCUUUAUCUACUAUCCAUAUUGCACUUGUAUCACCAUCUCUUCGCCGAACUAGUGCACCUAUACAAUUUACCAUUGUAUUAGGUGUGUUGGGGACACAAGAGACUCUUUGUUAUUUGGUUGCAAGGUUGCUUGAGAGAGACCAUCUUCAUCCUACGCCUCCUACGGAUUGAUAAACCUUAGGUCAUCCACUUGAGGGAAAUUUGCUACUGUCCUACAAACUCUGCACUUGGAGGCCCAACAACGUCUACAAGAAGAAGGUUGUGUGGUAGACAUCACACUUGUACCUUGAAAUUUAGUGAGGGAUCAUAUUAUAAUGCUACCGCCAUACUAAGCAAAAUAAGAUGCAUAAAAGAUAAACAUCACAUGCAAUCAAAAUAUGUGACAUGAUAUGGCCAUCAUCCUUUUGUGCCUUUGAUGUCCAUCUCCAAAGCACCGUAAUGAUCUCCAUCGUCACCGGCUUGACACCUUGAUCUCCAUCGUAGCAUCAUUGUCGUCUCGCCAACUAUUGCUUCUACGACUAUCGCUACUGCUUAGUGAUAAAGUAUAGCAAUUACAUGGCGAUUGCAUUUCAUACAAUAAAGCGACAAAAACAAGUUAGACGUCCUCUACUUUGUUGUUGCAAGUUUUACGUGGCUGCUACGGGCUUCUAGCAAGAAUCGUCCUUACCUACGCAUCAAAAACACAAUGAUUUUUCAUCAAGUGUGUUGUUUUAAACUUCAACAAGGACCGGCCGUAGUCAAAUUCAAUUCAACUAAAGUCGGAGAAACAGACACCCGCCAGCCACCUGUGUGCAAAAGCACGUCGGUAGAACCGGUCUCAUGAACGUGGUCUUGUAAUAUUGGUCCGCUUCAUCCAACAACACCGAUGAAUCAAAAUAAGACGUUGGUGGUAAGCAGUAUGACUAUUAUCACCCACAACUCUUUCUGUUCUACUCGUGCAUACCAUCUACGCAUAAACCUGGCUCGGAUACCACUGUUGGGGGACGUAGCAUGCAAUUUCAAAAAAUUUCCUACGAUCAUGCAAGAUCUAUCUAGGAGAUGCUUAGCAAUGAGAGGGGAAGAGUGUGUCCACGUACCCUCGUAGACCGAAAGCGGAAGCGUUAGGUUAACACGGUUGAUGUAGUCGAACGUCUUCACGAUCCAACCGAUCCAAGUACCGAACAUAUGGCACCUCCGUGUUCAGCACAUGUUCAGCUCGAUGACGUCCCUCGAACUCUUGAUCCAGCAGAGGGUCAAGGGAGAGUUCCGUCAGCACGACGACAUGGUGACGGUGAUGGUGAUGUGAUCUGCGUAGGGCUUCACCUAAGCACUACGACGCUAUGACCGGAGGAGUAAACUGUGGAGGGGGCACCGCACACGACUAGAGAACAAUUUUUGUGCCUUUGGGGUGCCCCCCGCCCCCGUAUAUCAAGGAGGGGGUGGCCGGCCAAGAGGGGCGCGCCAUGGGGGGUCCUACUAGGAUUCCUAGUCCUAGUAGGAUUCGCCCCCCCUUUCAUUUCUUCACUGGAGGGAAAAGCAAGGAGAGGGAGUAGGAGAAGGAAAGGGGGUGGCGCCCCCUUCCCUAAACCAAUUCGGCCUCCUCCCUUGUGGGCGCGCACCAGCCCCUUGUGGGCUGGUUAGCCUCCCUCCUAUGGCCCAUAUGGCCCAUAUCUUCCACCGGGGGUUCCGGUAACCCCUCCGGUACUCCGGUAUGUACCCCAUACACUCCGGAACCCUUCCGGUGUCCGAAUACUACCUUACAUUAUAUCGAUCUUUACCUCUCGACCAUUUCGAGACUCCUUGUCAUGUCCAUGAUCUCAUCCGGGACUCUGAACAAUCUUCGGCCACCAAAACACAUAACUCAUAAUACUAAUCGUCACCGAAUGUUAAGCGUGCGGACCCUACGGGUUCGAGAAAUAUGUAGACAUGACCGGGACACAUCUCCAGUCAAUAACCAAUAGCGGAACCUGGAUGCUCAUAUUGGUUCCUAUAUAUUCUAUGAAGAUCUUUUAUCGGUCAAACCACAUAACAAUAUACUUUAUUCCCUUCAUCAUCAGUAUGUUGCUUGCCCGAGAUCCGAUCAUCGGUAUCAUCAUACCUAGUUCAAUCUCGUUACCGGAAAGUCUCUUUACUCGUUCCGUAAUGCAUCAUCCUGCAACUAACUCAUUAGUCACAUUACUUGCAAGGCUUAUAGUGAUGUGCAUUACCGAGAGGGCCUAGAGAUACCUCUUCGAUACACGGAGGGACAAAUCCUAAUCUUGAUCUAUGCCAACUCAACAAACACCUUCGGAGACACAUGUAGAGCAUCUUUAUAAUCACCCAAUUACGUUGUGAUAUUUUAUAGCACACAAGGUGUUCCUCCGGUAUUUGGGAGUUGCAUGAUCUCAUAGUCAGAGGAAUAUGUAUAAAUCAUGAAGAAAGCAAUAGCAAUAAAACUAAACAAUCAUAAUGCUAAGCUAACGGAUGGGUCUUGUCCAUCACAUCAUUCUCCUAAUGAUGUGAUCACGUUCAUCAAAUGAAAACACAUGUCUAUGGUUAGGAAACUUAACCAUCUUUGAUUAACGAGCUAGUUAAAUAGAGGCAUACUAGGGACACUCUGUUUUGUUUAUGUAUUCACACAUGUACUAAGUUUCCGGUUAAUACAAUUCUAGCAUGAAUAAUAAACAUUUAUCAUGAUAUAAGAAAAUAUAAAUAACAUCUUUAUUAUUGCCUCCAGGGCAUAUUUCCUUCAGUAGCAGGUGCAUACAACUUGCAAGAUCGGAUUAAGAACACAAAUAAAUUCAUGAAAACAUAAAGGGUUCAGAUCUGAAAUCAUGGCACUCGGGCCCUAGUGACAAGCAUUAAGCAUUGCAAAGUUAUAGCAACAUCAAUCUUAGAACAUAGUGGAUACUAGGGAUAAAGCCCUAACAAAACUAACUCGAUUACAUGAUAAAUCUCAUCCAACCCAUCACCGCCCAGCAAGCAUACGAAGGAAUUACUCACUCCCGACGGUGGGCAUCAUGAAAUUGGUAAUGUAGGAUGGUUGAUGAUGACAAAGACGAACGAUCCCCCUCUCCGGAGCCCCGAACGGACUCCAUAUCUGGCCUCUGGAUGAAGAAUAGGAGGUGGUGGCGGCUCCGUAUCGUAAAACGCUAUGAAACUUCAUCUCUCAUUUAUUCUCGAGAAAUAGGGAUUUAUAGUGCUGAGAUUAGGAUUAGCGGAGCCAUGUGGGCCCUACAAGCAACCAGGGCGCGCCCUGGUGCCUCGUGGGCAGCAAGUUGCCCCUCUCCAGUGGAUCUUUGCUCCAGUAUUUUUUAUUUAUUCCAUAAACAAUUUCCAAAAAGUUUCAUCCAAUUCUGAAAACUUUUAUUUCUGCACAAAAAACAACAUCAUGGUAGUUUUCCUGAAAGCAGCAUUAGUACGGGUUAGUUUCAUUCAAAUCGUGCAAAUUAGAGUCCAAAACAAGAGCAAAGUGUUCGGAAAAAUAGAUACGACGGAGACGUAUCACUCCCCAACACGGUUGCUCCUACCCAUUCCUCAGCAACUAGCCAACGUGGCUACAUACCCAAAAAAGGCCAGUCCCAGCCCAUUCAUACCUACUACUAUUAAACAAGCAAACAUAUUCAUCACUAAGUGCAUCCAGUCUAGCCUACACAUAACAGCACUGAAGAGUUACAGCCUCCCGAUCAGAUCACAUAAUUUUAUAACCGUCGAGAUUACACUAAUCCACAUGAAAAACUGAGUUUAGCAUUUUUUUUCUAGGCAGGCGAAAACUUUGUCAUUUCCACGUCCACAAGAGCAGCAACAAGGGAUCCCACCACCGCGUAAUUAGCGCUAACAUCCUGUGUGAUUAGAGCCCAAAGGUCAUCUGCUCGGGGACCCAAGCCCCUUGCGCGCUCACGAUGGAGAACUUCGUAGCGCAUCGGCCAAUGGCUGCUCCGGUCGCCGCCCCUACUCAUGAAGGCAUCGCACACCGAGAAGUCAAGGGAGUGGCUCAUCGAUGCCUUCCUCCUCUACUUGGUGGCCUCCAUGGAUGCGGAGACUAUGUCGCCAGAUCCGUGUUGGCCGACCGAAAGGGUCCCCGAAGGACGGCCGUCGGCCGGAGCCUCGCCAUCUACCUCCAACAACUGUCUGAUACCCCAUUGCUACUGGCACGUCAUGCACCUUCCCAGCCAAUGUCGUCGGCAGCCUCACGGAUGCCGACAUCGCUGGGCUUCCUUCCCUCCCCCCUCCCUUGCCGGACCUCCCGGCUCCCAGCCGCCCGCAUGUAGCACCGACGCGAUCCCCGUGGCCUUGUCGACACCUCCCUGAGCAGGCGACCCACACCACAGCACUCUCAACUGCACCAGGUGCUUGUGGUAUUGCCUCAAAGAAUGCAGUGUUAAUCUUUUCAGCCAAUGUUUGCAAAAAUCGCUGCGUCUUCGGCGUAUAAACUAACACGCAACUUGACCUCUCGCCCUGACAGGGGAGCUAGUAUCCCAUACUUGAUAACUUUGGCGAUCAGAUGGUGCAGAGCGUCAAUUGCGAGGAUGAAUAGUAGCGGUGAAAGGGGGUCACCCUGCAGCCCGCGGUGAUGUCUAACUAAAACUCCUAGUGCCCCAUUAACCAAGAAAUACGACGGUGUGGAUGACAGAAGCAAAGCAAUCCAGUCACGCCAGCGUGCACUGAAGCCCAUCUCGUGAAGAAGCUCAAGGAUGAACUCCCAAGAUACAUGAUCAAAGGCCCUUGCAAUAUCUAGGUUGAUUAGAAGUGCUGGGUUUCUCUUGUGAUGGAGGGAAUGGGCGAGGUUUUGGAUGUACAGGAAAUUAUCAUUUAGGCACUUUGUCUUCAUAAACACGCUCUGCACCGACGAGAUGAGCGAGCCAACUUUCUCUGACAGACACAUGAAGAACCUUAGCAACCCAUUUUGUAAUUGAAUUGAUCAGACUGAUUGGCCUGAAAUCCCCCAUUGCUUUGGCACCAUCCUUUUUUGGCAACAGUGCGGCGAGGGCCAAGUUGAUCCGUGCAAAGUUUGCUCCCGGCAUACUAUGAAAUUGAUGAAAAAUAUCUAUGAUCUCUUCCUUGAUUAUGUCCUAGUAUGUUGAUGUAUAAUGUGCUACCUAGUCUCUUUCAUCAGAUCAGUCUUUCGGUUGCAUUGGUUAGAACAUGCACUUCUGCAUGGUAUGAGAGCCAAGAUGUCUUAAGUUCAAGACUAAUGUGCUGCCUAGUCUCUUCUAUCAGAUCGGUUUUUUGGUUGCAUUAACUAGAGCAUACACUUCUACAAGUACGAAAGAAAAUACCGUUGAAGCCAUCAGCUCCGACGCCUUCUCCGCCGGGUAGGCCAGCAUGGCCGCCUUCCAUAAAAGGGUUGUCGCCCUCCACCGGCCACCUUGGGCAGCUACAACCCACGCUCCACUGCCACGUUAUUCUUUAUGAAUGUUAUCUUCUUGCACGCUCCACUGUCGCGCUUAGGGGGUACUAUGUGUGUUGAGAGCGUCUCGUGGGCUCCCUGUGCGGACGUGGGGUUUAAUGUCGUGUAAGUAGUUCGUUGUGGUAUGUCUACUCUGGUUUUUGCCCGAUUUUCAUAAUCAACAAGGUAAUUCUCUUCUACUUAAUUAAUCAUUGAGACGAAACGUUUGCCUCCGUUUAAAAGAGAAGAAUAUUGUGAGGGAUGACUGGUGAAUGGACUGUUUUUUGUCGGCACAAUCUGUCUUCUUGUUCGUGUGUUCCACAUACAGUUCAGAAUAGAAGUGCAUUGAGUCGAUUCCGACCGAUGAAAGUAUGACAAGCUGCUAAAUAACAUGUCUAAUAAGAUAAAUUCAACCGAUAACCGAGCAGUAACAGCGGCAUAUAUACAAGUCGCGGGCAUCUUGAGAGACAUUGCUUGACACUUCCCCUUAGCUCCUCUAGCAGGUUACACAUGAAGAAGCAAAAGUGAAUGAAGAAAAUAGAAGGCAUAAUAAAGACUACUCCUUCCGUCCCAUAAUAUAAGAGCAUUUUUGACAUUGCAUUAGAUGUAAAUGCCAAAUAGCACAUCGCUCCCAAGAACAGUUCGCCCUGUUAUUUCGACUUGACGAUGAGAACGGGGCAGUUGGCGUUCCUGACGCAGUAAUCGCUGACACUCCCGAGGAGAGC
rnacentral:lncRNA from 1 species